rnacentral:lncRNA from 1 species
CUGUCCGCAAAUAUUGGUGAUAGAACAGAAUGAAAGCCAAUGUUGUUUUUGUCUCUAAGCACACAUGCUCCCAUGCGCAUCACCGUUGGAUAUACACACAGAGUGCAUACUCUCUUCUGCUACAAAUACGUCCCACGUGCAUCCACCAUGGUCAUGGCCUUAGGAGAAAUUUGUCCGCAUCUAGGGAGGAAUUGUACAUUGAUUUACCAUGUGCAAUACAGUUUCCGGUCUCAAUAAGAUCAAUACUAGUUUGUUGUUACAGGCAGCAGGCUGGCCAUGCAUGAAUCAUGACCGAUGCAACGCUUCAGGUUCCUUUACAACACGCAUGCAUCUAGCUUUCCACAGCAAACAACUGGCGGCGGCGGCGGCAGCAGCAGGUAUGCUGAUGCACCACGUUCUAGUGGAACUUGAGGCUGGUGAGCACGUUGUUGUUGACGGGGUCGGCGAGGUGGUCGAGCAGGUUCUGGAACGGGCCGACGCCGGUGACGAGCCCCUGGAUGAAGUAACCGAGGAUGGCGAGCAUGGCGAGCCUGCCGUUCUUGAUCUCCUUGAGCUUGAGCUCAUUCAUCUCCUUCUCGGUCUUGCCGAAGCCGAGCGGGUUGAAGAGGGGCCCGCCGGGGUAGGACGGGUCGCCGGAGCCGGCGAGGAACUUCUCGAGGCCGAGGAAGUACUGCUUGCCCAUGGAGCCCGGGUUGUACCAGUCCUGGAGGCGGCGGUGCUCGGCGAAGCCCAUGAGCGCCAUGUUGAAGACGAAGAGCGUGUAGGAGUCGGCCCAGUAGUUGUAGGUGCCCGCGGGCGGGAUGACGCCCGUCUUGAACCACGGCAGCGCGGUCUCCGGGGGGAUGAUGCCCAUCUUGCCGAAGAUCUCCGGGGCGAUGGCGCCCACCGCGCCCAGCAUGGCGUAGCGGCCGUUGAUCACCUCGCCAUAGGCCAGCCACUUGGGCUCGAUGAAGCCCCCGGUGCCCUCCGGGUCCGAGAGGCCCAGCGGGUCGAAGCCAUAGUCGCCGGGCAGCCUGCAUGCAUGCAUGCAGCAGCAACAAUGAGGCAGGUGAGCAUAGGGUUUCUAUCGUCGCUAGCAGAAGGUUUGCUGCGCGCGGGGCGGGCAACGAGCGCAGGUACGUACGUGCCAUCGAGGUAGGAGAGGGACUGCUUGGACGCGAACCACAGCUGCCUGUCGGCACCUUGCUGCGAAACGAAAACAAUCGAGUCAGCACUCAGCAGUACGUAGUCCUCUCAAGAACGAACGAGCUUGCCAUCGUUGAGAUUGACGACGGACGGAUUACUAGCUAUAGUAGGGUACGGCGCACAGACCUUGGCUGGAGGGCUGGAGCUGGCCCUGACGACGAAGGGCGCCUUCCUCGCCGACGACCUAGAGACGGCCGACUGCACGGGGCGGCCCAGCAGCUGCCGGCCGGAGAGGAGAGCCUGGGCCGCCAUCGAUCAGGCACUGGUGCUUCUUCUAACUUGAGCUUCCGACAACGUACGUGCUUGCGCUCGCGAUCGUGUCGAUGGCUCGCUGCUCUAUCCGCAGUUUGGGAGGAGAGGGGCGCAGAAGAAGAGGCGCGGAAAGUAUGUGACUGUGCCACGAGAGGGGUGCGGGGCCCAGGGAAAUCUAAACCGCGCCGGGGAGAUGAGGCCGCAUCCGCGGGGCCACUGGCGCCGCGCCAUCUGGCGGGUACGAUGGGAUAAGGGGCGCCAUUCGCCGAGGCAUGUGGCUCGCAGGCCUUGGCAGCAGCUGGCCGCAGGAAUGCACGCAAGGCUCGACGCUUGGCCAAGAUUUUUCCUCCCAAGGAACGCCACGCCCACGCGUAUCGUAUGGUAGGCUGGUGAUGGAUGUUGGAUAAUUUGGCCCAUUUGGAUGAGGUCGCUUUAGGCUCAAACGAAACCUACAGGGAAAAGCCUACUAAAAACCAUCUAAAUAACACUGGGAUAGUUUUGAAGAUGAUUUAUCAUAUUGCGUGUCGGUGAGUAGGGAUGAAAAAUAGAUAUCUGAAUUGUUUGAACAAAUUUAAUAUUUUAAAAUAGAUAUGCAAGAAAUUUGAUGUUGCUCUUAUUAUGUUAUCAAACAUAUUAUUACAAAUAAGAAUAAAAUUCUGCAUAGAAUGUUUUAUGCAUUAUUUGCUCUCUACAAUAAAAAAAUGAAUAAAUAUCUGAAUUUGUAUCCUGAUUAUCAUUUGAGAAAUUAUUUGAUGCGUACAUUUAAGGUUUACCUUUUAUGAACCUUUACAAGCUCGAUGCUAAAAACAAGAAUAUAAAUAUGUAUAGCAGAUUCUACAUCUUAUUUAUUCGAUCAAAAACCUGAUAUCCAAAUAAGUAUCUGUUUUCGACUGUUUUCAUCCCUACCGGUGAGUUAUCGAAUAUAUAAUAAAAAAAAAGUCUAUGCAUUGCUCUAACAUAUUCAGCGUUGACUAUAUAAUCUCCUUGAUAAUAAAACCAUGAUAUUAUAGUCAUUUUGUUAGACUAUCCCUAGCAGCUUACUCAUCUUCAUCUCUUAUUUCAAACUCUACUAGUCAUAUGCUCGUGCAUUGCUACAGUUUUUAUAUAUGACAUAGGAUAAAUUUUGUUUUAUUAAAGCAUAAAAAUAUGUGUUUUCUAUUGAUUAGGUGGGUGUGAAUGUGGAGCUAACAACCAAGGUUUAAAUACCCACUUAUACAUAAUUUCACCUUAUUUUUUACAUAAAGUGCAAAUAUAAGGCUUCCCAAAAGGAGGUCUUGCACCCUUGUAUCAUUUGCCCUUUCAGUAAGAGAUAACAAACAUUGAAUGGUUUCAAUGAUAUUUUUGUUGUCUCCCUGAAGGAUAUUAUGAAGAAUCACCUCAAAUAAUUGUUGGGGUUUUGGUGGUUGCAAUAUAUUUCUAUUAAAUAAAACAAAUCUUUCCAAACUGAUCUGAGCAUGCCAAGGCAAAUGAAGCAACACUACAUGCCCCCAUGUACCCUUGAAGUGGAGCACCAAGUUCACUGAAUGUUUUUAGCGUGGUAAUUGUGUGGUGCUGUGAGAUCUCAGAACCAUUGCCUAGAAGCACAAGAAGUUUCUUGUCAAUUCCUGAUUCAAUCAUAGUCUCAACAGUCUUCAACUUUCCAACCUUUAUCAGAGAUGCAAGUCUUGCGAACACAUUUUCAUACAUUGCUCAUUUUCUGUAAACAAGAGAUCUGCAAUUUGAUCCAUGGGAAUUCUUGCCAAAUUUCAUCAGCAAUUGCGCCAUCAACAUGCUCAGAUAUCUUGGCCAGAACAGAAGAGAAGUUGGAUAAAGUUGAAGUAUCUUCACAGGCACCAAGAAGAUCAAUUAAUCUAUCUAUGAAACCUACUAUUUCAAGAGAGCAAGUAAGAUUUAUGUAGUCUGCUGGAACAAAUAUAACUGCAAUCGCGGUAGUGACUGUAAAAAUAAGAUCUGGUGAUCCUAUGGAAAUUAUCUCUGCUAUUCAAGGGACAAGUAUUUUAGUGAACACAAUUUUGCUUGCCUCAAAUUCAGAUAGGGAUAUGCAUGCCAUGAGAGCUUGACUUGUGUUUGCCAAUUAAAUGUCAAUGUCCGUGAAUUCUAGCAGAGAAAAGAAUUAUCCCAUCUUUCGUUCAGCUGGUCUUUUCAUACACUCUUUGCCAAAAAAUUCCAAGGAGCUACAAAUGUUGCAUAGUAUGAAAUCGAAUUAGAUAAAAAAGCACAAGUAACAUCAUUUGUUUUGUUCUCAUGGUACAUCUACAUCUUUUUCACUGACGUAUGAAACUGGACCAAGUGCACAAGUUGCAUAAGUUGGGAGGUUGGAUAUGGUUUUCUCCCAUUUUUUUCAUUAUGGUUUUCUUCGUCAGAGCUUGCCCAUGGUAGCAACUAUAAGGGGAUAGAGCUCACAACGAUCCAGCAAGACUUCUAUGUCGGGCUGUGAAGUAUAGAGAAGUUAAACACCCAAAAACCAUGGUGUUUGGAAUUUUUAGUUAUUCUAUUUUUCAUGAUGUAUCUUCCUCUAACAUGCCUUAAUUUGCAAAUUUGGCAUAACUACUGAUUGAAAAAUUAUGUUUGUAAAAAAAAUAAUAAGCAUAUUUGUGAAGCUAAACAUGAUGUUACUUAAGAAAAUAUGUUGUAAACAUAAUAAGAUUAAUAUUGAAAUGGAAACAUAUGUAAAUUAGAAUCAUCCAACAAAGGUAAGAGAUGUCCAUGCUUUGAGAACCUUUUUCAGAUUACGACCGAAGAAGUAGCCCUCCAAGACUCAGCGAAGGUUGCCGCAAUUCCACAAAUACAUAGCAUGCAACCUCUUGGUCAUCGUCGCCGUCAUAAACACAGACAUCUCAAUUCCCCGCUCCAUCAAUUUAGAAAUGAGCAAGCAAGUAGCCGAUCGCUCACCCCCAUACGCACCAAUCUGACUCCCAAGCUCCGUUUGCAUCAGUACCGCCAGCACUCCACCUGCAGCUACCAAUCGAGACCUUCUCGGCCUAAGCAGAUCGAUUGAUCUUUAGAGUAGAGAGUUGGUGGUACAGGUACCUUAACUACCUUGGAACGAUGGGGCGCGAUGUAGAGAAGAUAGCGCCUCCCUAUGUGGAACGACACCCGCAACACGCCGCUCAACUACAGCCUCCUUGUCACCGGUGCCACGGCGAGGGGGCCCGUGGCCGCAGCCACCGACCAGCAUGUCUCUAUGUCCUCGUCUGACCUCGACGUGUCAUGGUGAGCAGUCGGACGCCGGCACCAGACUGACGACAUGGGUCUCUAAAGAGCCCGCCACCUCGGGAGAUCUGAGCCCUACUGGUGGUGGUAACCAUUUUCGUUGCGCUAACGCGGAGAGCCAGAGGCCAGAAAUUUAUAGCGAUGUCAGUCGUGGUAGGCACGCUAUCGGAGGUUGCAGCGUGGCAGGUCAUUCGACGUGGAGUUCACGUGGCCUAUCCUCGCAUCACUCGGCACAGAGUUUGUGGGGUGUUAUCCUCAUGACGCGAUCCGAGGUUGCGAUAGCGGCAGAGGAAGGUGUGUGGCAUGCGGAGGCGGUUUCUGCAUGUGGCGUGCAGGAGUUCGUUUCAUAGAUGCGAGGAAGCACGAUGACAUACGACGGUCACUGGAGGGGGACAACGCACAAAGAUCAAGACGCACGAAACUCUAGUAAAGAAGAGAUUAUAGGAGUGUGAGUUGCUUUUAAAGAAAUGUAGGUUUUUUUUGAAAAAUAUUGACGCAUGACGACCGUUGAAACUGGUGCUUUAAUAUAGUAGAGAUAGAGACUCUUCAAACAGUGCAUUCUAUAGUAUAAAAUAGUAUUUUGCACGAUCAUAUGCACCAUCUAUUGGCCAUAGCCUUAGACCGUUUUGACAAUAUAUUACACCAUAAUAGUCUUAGCCUCCAUUUUUGCAUGCAAGCUCAUCUAUUGCUUCUCUCUCAUUACUCAUUCUAGACUGUCUAAGGGCUUGACAAGCAACACAUGACCGCUUACCUCCUACACCUCAUGACACGGACACGGGACAAAAAUUCAUGGAGGAUCAAGAAGAUUGUAUGAUAAAAUCAAGUAAGAUCAUAAAACUAGUGUUGCAUAAAAUUUAAAACUUUAUAUCAAUAUACGACGUAGGAUCACAGAAGAAAACUAUAUAAACAAAAGAAACAAACAUAUUGCUAAGUUUUUGCUGAUCGAGGCGAUUGCAUCCUUCUAGUUUUGAGACGUUGAAAUGUCGAAUAGUAAUCUCAUCAUUAAUAGAUUUGAAAAGCUCAUCAUCAAUCACCGAAUAAUGAGAUCAUCAUCGAUUUUUCUUCUUAAUGUUGGAUAUGAAAUUAUUUCAUCUAGAUUAAAUGCCCUUCCGACACUUGACAGAUCUAGAAUUCUUGUUUGUGCAACAGUUGUGUUGUUCACGUAAAUAUUGUCCUAACCACUGGUCGUGAAACCCCAUAAAAUGGUUGAAAAUAUCUUUAUAUAAACAAAGAGAAGCAAUAAUCAUCAACUACUUAUCUAAUCUCUAAUUCAUCGUCAAGUGAAUAUUCCAAUCCAAUCCAAGUAUUCAAUCACGUGCUCGAACAGUCGAUCGAAUAAAAACAAAAUCCACCAAAUUGAAGUUGUCUAUACCUUGUCGAAUGUCGAUCUCCUCUAAGGGUCGGGGCAGGAUCGGGCGGUUUCGCUGGAUGAGAGCCAACACUCUCUAGUUCGCCAAGCUUGUCGAUCACCGAGGACUGAUCGUGUUGUAUUGACGAGAGAGAUUGGGCCUAUCGGGUGGGCCAGUGUCACGACGAUGAUGAGCGGGGUAGGGCGCUAGAAAGGGAGUGGGGUCAAACAACGUCACAUGUCAGGAAGGGGUGGCAUCGAACGGCGUGGCAAACAGGGUGUCGAGGCAGACUGCCUCGAGCGGCAUUGGGAAUAAUGGAGCUGGACAUAUAGAUGUGAGGAUUGGACCAAGGAGGGGAUGAGAGUCGAGAGGACUCAGCUGAUCUAACGAGGAGGCUCAGGACGGGAUUGUUUUGGCCCACCUAAAACUUUAGUUUUUUCUAUGCUUAACAUUAGGUAUAAGAGGUUUUAAAAAAUUUAGAACAUGGCCUACUUUGCCCCCUAGUGCAUCCGCCCCUGGUGGGAGAGAGAGAUGAAGGAGACAAAUGUUACACACUUCUCAUUCUAUGGUGAGGCAAGGCUACAAAAAGCAUAAAGAAAGAGGGAACAAAUUGGCUCUCGUGUAUAGCCAGGCUAGUAUGGAAAAUAUGAAUCAAAAUUGUCAUAUAAAACCAUCUAGGGGUAUCAUUAUAGAUCUUAAGUGGUAUAAUUUUAUUUAUUACAGUUGAGAGUGUUAUAGAGUCAAUCUUUGAUAUAUUAGAGGGUUAUGGUAGAUUUUGUAGUAUACUUCCAUGGCUUACGGUCAUGUUAGCACACAUGAAAUAUGCUUCAUAAGAAAACAUGCCUUCAAAUCCACCUGAUUAUUUAGAAAAUUUUAAAUAUUUUAAGAAUAUGAAUAUCUAGUUUUAUAUGUGAGGAUUAAAGUAUAUAAGUGCCAAUAGUACGGGUGGUUAUAUAAUCAAGCAUAUAUAUAGGUUAUAAUCACAAAAAUCAACUUGUGAGUUAAAGAAAGCCUACAUAACUAUAACAUCAACACAAUGCUAGGGUUUGGUCUAUGGACUGUGUCCCGGUGAUAAGAGAGAGACUAGGAUGAAAAUGAACCAUAGAAGCAUUCAAAAGAAUGGAACCAGAAAAAUUGAAGCAAGGUCUUCCAUUCUUGCUCUUCGUUCGCAAAAGCAAAUCUUCUCACAUCUUAUUGAUCAUCAACAACAACCAUGGGAACCUACUGGUGAGAGCAUCCUCGCCUUCUCAUGCUUGGUCACUAAGGGGAAUGGGGUGUGAUAGUUGGUAUUCAUCGGCAUUGAUCUAGGUAUAUUUGCUUGUGUUCAGUUCAUCGCUUUUGAUCCUAACCCUUCCCUCGAUAUCGAGUUUGUUCAGUUGGUUGUGUUUUUGUUAUAUCAAAGAACUUGAUUUGAUAAAAAAAUUACCAUGACGUAAAACACCCCAAGGAAUUCAAGGAUGGGCACAGUUUCCAUGGAUUUUUGCACCAUGUACCUCGAGAUAGCAAAGAGGUGGGUUCAAGGCAGAUGCAGCAUUCGCGGACCCGUAUCCGAAACCCGCCACCAAAACUCACCUUGUCCCCAAACCCUGAUGUGGGUUAAAAACUGAAAGUCACCUAGAGGGGGGUGAAUAGGUGGAAACUGAAAUUUACAAACUUUAAGCACAACUACAAGCUGGGGUUAGCGUUAGAAAUAAAAUCAAGUCCAAAAGAGAGGGGAAAACAAAUCAACCAGAGAAAUAUAGCAGAUGACACGGUGAUUUGUUUUACCGAGGUUCGGUUCUUGAAAACCUACUCUCCGUUGAGGUGGUCACAAAGACCAGGUCUCUUUCAACCCUUUCCCUCUCUCAAACGGUCACUUAGACCGAGUGAGCUUUCUCCUUAACCAAACGGGUCACUUAGACCCCUACAAGGACCACCACAACUUGGUGUCUCUUGCUUUGAUUACAAGUGUCUUGAGAACAAGAAUGGGGAAGAAGAAAGCACGAUUGCAAAAGCCAAGCGACAAGAGCGACAAAUAACACAUGGAUCACUUUCUCUCUCAAGUCUCUAAUCACUAAUGAUCACUUGUCUCAAUUGUGGAACUUGGAGAGAUUGGAAGCUUUGAUUGUGUCUUUGAAUGGAUUGCUAGCUCUUGUAUUGAAUGUGAAAGAUUGGAGUGCUUGGGUGAAGUGAAGUGAGGUGGUUGGGGUUGUAUUUAUAGCCCCCAACCACUUCCUAGCCGUUGCUCCUUUUCUGCCGACCGCGGACGGUCCGUGCCCCUGGUCCGGACGGUUCGCCCCUGCACAUCAACGGCUGAAAUCGCAACGGUCAGCAGUAACAGCUAUAUCAAUGGCUAUAUAGCAUUUAAUGCAUCGUUAGAUGUCAGAUAAAGGCAGUCGCGGACGGUCCGGUCGUGCACCCCGGAUGGUCCGCGAGGACGCUAUAAUUCAUUUUACCGAACCCGUCACCUUCGGGUUUUUUCGGUUCUGCGCCGACCGGACGGUCCGCGCCUGAGGCCGGACGGUCCGCGCUUGGUCUCAGACGGUGCUUGCUUUUCCAUCGGACGGUCCAUAGUGUAGACUUGUGUUUUUGCAUUGGUUCUGUCCGAGGGUCAUUGAAAGUCGCCUAGAGGGGGGGUGAAUAGGGUGAAUCUGAAAUUUACAAACUUAAUCACAACUAAAAGCCGGGUUAGCGUUAGAAAUAGAAACGAGUCCGAGAGAGGGCGCAAAACAAAUCGCAAGCUAAUAAAGAGUGUGACACAAAGAUUUGUUUUACCGAGGUUCGGUUCUCUCAAACCUACUCCCCGUUGAGGUGGUCACAAAGACCGGGUAUCUUUCAACCCUUUCCCUCUCUCAAACGGUCCCUCGGACCGAGUGAGAUUCUUCUUCUCAAUCAAACGGGAACAAUUUUCCCCGCAAGGACCACCACACAAUUGGUGUCUCUUGCCUCGGUUAUAAUUGAGUUGUUUGCCAGAAAGAGUGAAAGAAAGAAGCAAUCCAAGCGCAAGAGCUCAAAAGAACACAACAAAUCUCUCUCACUAAUCACUAAUGCUUUGUGUGGAAUUGGGAGAGGAUUUGAUCACUUGGGUGUGUCUAGAAUUGAAUGCUAGAGCUCUUGUAAGUAGUUGGAAGGUGGAAAACUUGGAUGACUUGAAUGGGGGGUGGUUGGGGGUAUUUAUAACCCAACCACCAAACUAGCCGUUUGGUGGAGGCUGCUGUCGACGGGCGCACCGGACAGUCCGGUGCGCCACCGGACAGUGUCCGGUGCGCCAGCCACGUCACCUGGCCGUUGGGUUCCGACCGUUGGAGCUCUGUCUUGUGGGCCCGCCUGGCUGUCUGGUGGCGCACCGGACAAGUCCUAUAGACUGUCCGGUGUGCCACCCAUGCGUGCUCUGUCCUCUGCGCGCGCAGGCGCACAUUUAAUGCGUUGCAGUCGACCGUUGCGCGCGAAGUAGCCGUUGCUCCGCUGGCUCACCGGAUAGUCCGGUGUGCACCGGACAUGUCCGGUGAAUUAUAGCGGGGCGGAUUCCCGAAGCUGUCUAGUUCAGAGCCGCUCUUCCUUAGGGCACCGGACACUGUCCGGUGGUGCACCGGACAGUCCGGUGAAUUAUAGCGAAGCGCCUCUGAGAUUUCCUGUAACACCCACUUUGUAAGAAAAUCGAAAAGGAGAAAAUUAUAUCCCUUUGUAUACAUGAGUGUGUCAUCUCUAUCUAUUAUUUCAUGUGAACACAUUACUUACACAAAUAAACCAUUAACAAGAGACACCCAAAUAAAUGGUGCAUCAUGCUGGAGUUAUGUGAUUGUGCAUUUGUGGAUAAUAAAAAUAAAAGUGCCAAUAACAAUAUAUAAAUGGAUCCAUAGAAUUUAAACCCUAAUUUGAAAACAAAACCUUGAAAAAUUGGAGAAGAAGAAAGAAAGGUACAAAAAUUAUACAAAAUAAAUAUUAUAAAUAAAAGUAAUAUGGGUAUGUUCAAACUAUGUGUUAGUUGAGAAUAAUAAAACCACAACAGUUGGUGAAUUCAAAAUUUAAAGUUCAAAUCAAAAAGGCAAAAGAAAAGGAAGAAGAAAUAGAAAAGAAAAAGAAUGGAACAAACCUGUAACUAGGCCUAAUCUGCGAUGUCGGCCCACUUGUGCUCGUGGUCCGCUACCCAGACUGUGGCCGUACGCCUAUGGAAUUAAGCGCCGGCAGGUGGGGCCCUUUGGGCAGUGGCACUAGCGCUUCCACACUUUCUCUCCUUCACUGAUCCGCGGGGCUGCCUUGCCAGCCACCCCGGGGCACGCCGUGUUCUGGUGAAUCACUGCCUGGUUGGCCCGGUUGCACAGGGUUAUCUUCCCCACAUGAUUCGGCAGCCCGGCCGAAGUUCAUGGCGCCCGCGCAGAUCCGAACUUGCUGGCCGAUGUGGGCCUCGCCUACUGCGUCACCAGCAAGCACUCGCCAACUCCCCUCCUCCAGUCUGCGCGUACACUGGGGAAGCUAUAGCGCAACGAAACCCGCUUCCUGCGUGGCUUCAACGGCGGACUACCACGCGCAAGCUGCGCGCCAGCCGGAUCCCGGGGCCAUUCCGCCCGCCGGACCCGCGGCAACUAGCUCCGCUUCCUGCUCCGUAAUGGACGCUGCGAGUUCGCCAUUGGGACUAAGCCCAUGUAGGUCCGCACGCUUACCAUUGGUGCUCGUCGACCGAUCGGGUCUGCACGUGGAGAUCUCCGGUCAACAGAAGCCGCAGCCAUUGAACCACCUCCGCGGCAAUCGGGGGCAGUUGCAACCACCCCACCGCCUCGGCCUCCUACCCUCACCCCUAUAUAAUCGCGGGCUCCGGUAUCUGCUGCGAAUCGUGGUGCUCGGCGUGCCGCCGUGGGGAGUCGCCGCGAGGUACUGCCGCCAUUAUUCCCGAUCGGUGGUGUGCACACGGUCGCGGGACCCCGCUGGUGUCGCCAGAUCGCGUUGGAGUCGGUGCGUGGAGAGAAGAACGGUCUCGGUGGCCGUAUUCGCUCGCCGCCGCCGUGACUUCGCCCCACGCCGUGGAUCACUCCCUAGCCGCCAUCUCUACCUACGGUGAGCCCCUAGUAUGUUUCGCCAUCGUCUGAAUUGUGCGUAGGGGCCUUCGAAUGACGUUGUAGGGGCCCAGAUCGGCCGAAUCGCGUGGCUCCGGCGAGGAUCCGCUGUGACCUCGGGCGGUGCCGCCCCUGCUCGGGUGUUGACGCAGGGGGGGAAAUUGACGAGGUGCAUCUGGCCGUCUGUUCCGCUGUGAUCGCGUAGGAUUAGGUCUGGGUAGCGCUUUGCCCGCGACCAUUAGAUAUCGAUCGGACGGUGCGGGAUGGAUCAAGCUUCAUAAAAUCAGGGUCGUCGGUUUCCGAUCCUGUGGCUUCCCUUGCGUACCGGUUCGCAAGAUGGCCGAUCUAUUCUGAUCCGUGGAUGUAUGAUCCAACGGCCCAAAUCCCUCCUUACCCCUUCGGCCGUGACCUUUUUACUAAAGGGACCCCAAACUUUCGCAGAAUCAACCCGCAGUAUCCCUCGGAUGUGGCUGUGUUUGGGCGAUUUUGCAAGUUAAACCCCGAGCUCCCUGGUUAUUGUGUGCGCAGUCCAGAGCUCAGAGAAAAUAGGAAAAAUGAAUUUAGAAAAUGAAUUUUCAAUGUAAAAAGAAUUCUAGAACCUAUUUAAUGCAUAGAAAAUUCAUUUUAGCUCCUUUUUAAUCCAUUCCAGCUCCCAUAAUUUUGUAUUAAUAUUGUCUAUUACUUGGUAACACUAUUUUAACAUGAAACCCAUACUAGAAUUAAUUACUCAAUUAAUUUCGUAGCAAACACAUAAAACCUUCAGAAAUUCAUAACUCAUCCGUUAUAAUUCCGAUUUGAUCCGUUCAAGUUGUGUUAGUCUCGUAUAAAUAUUUACUAUGCAAUAACAAUAUUUAUUAUACCAUGCCUCAUUAUUUUAUAAUUAGAUUUCUAUUUAACUUAGGUUGGUUAGUUUCGUUAAUGUAUUCAUCAUUACUUGCUAAACUGUGAUAUAUGAUUAAUUUAUAACUUAGAUUAAAGUUGAGAUAAUUAUUUAUAGAAUAACCACUCAUAUGAUUUACACUAACCAAUUUAUAAUAUGGUUUAAUAUUUAAAUCACGUAGAACUUCUUAAUCGUAACUCCGAUCUUAGUAGUUCUCAAUCCCACGAGCUCGUAGCGACGCGUAGAUCAUUAUUAUUCAGUUGUACUUAUGUUUGGUGUGAUGUUAAUUUUGUAUAUACCAUGUUUGUUUGUAUUGCUACGACUAGCAGUGAGGUCACGAGAAUCUGAAGAAUCAUCCUGGUACCUGGAAUCUCAAGUCUCAGGCAAGUUGUGCCCUUGAUCACUUCUUUUUACCCACUCAUGUUCUAAUUAAUCAUAAUGAUCUGCAUAGGUUAAUUUUGAUGGGACCCAAUAGGUUACCCUAGUUUGUCUAUCUUUAUACCUUGUUUACCACUUAACUUUUUGGGUAGUACUUGCUAGUGCUUUAUGUGGUUUUUGGGUAUGAAGAUACAUUAUUCAUAAUUACACUUUUGCUAUCAGUUGUUAUUUACUGUUCAUGAUAAGAUCAUUAUGUUAAUUGGAACAUGGAGAACCACCCGGGAAAACAGUGCUACCACAAGGGUUUAAUGGGACGCCCUUGGCCGAUUAAUUAGGAAAGCUAGUGGAAGACUACCUUACCCGAAAGGGGCAAGGGCAGUAGGGGAGUGGUCAGUGUAGGGAGGCCCUCGGGAGGAUUUUGCUGCGAUGGCGGUCCUGCAAGGGAUUCCUGCAUUGGAGCUUCCUAUAAACUGUAGCGGGUUUUCUGAAGCUAGUGGAACUUUGUAAAGGCCUCGUAGUGUUACCCUGCCUCGCCUCCUCGGUAGAGGUGUAUGGGAAGUCGCGAUCCCUUGGCAGAUGGGUAACAUGACUUGUGGGUAAAGAUGCGCCACCUCUGCAGAGUGUAAAACUGGUAUACUAGCCGUGCUCACGGUCAUGAGCGGCUCGGACACUCACAUGAUUAAAUUAUGGAACUUAAACUCAAUUUGUCAUGUGCAUUGCAUCGCAGGUGAGGUUGUUACUUUUGUUCUACUACUUAAUUGGGCUGGUAUUUACUUAUACUUAGUAAUUGCUAAUAAAAUUUUGACCAACUUUAAAAGCAAUGCUCAGCUCUAACCAUCCUCUUUGGUAAGCCUUACACUUCACAUGAACUCCCACCUUUGGCGAGUUCAUUCACAUUAUUCCCCACAACUUGUUGAGCGAUGAACGUAUGUGAGCUCACUCUUGCUGUCUCACACCCCCCACAGGUCAAGAACAGGUACCACAGGAUGAGGCGCGUGGAGGAUGCUGCGAUGAGUUCGUGAGUGGUCUAGGUCGUCGUCUCCCAGUCAACUUUGGGUUGCUGGACCGUUGUCUCCUCAUAAUGUAAUUAUUUAUUUAUUUUGUAUAGAACUUCUAUUAUAUAGUAAAGAUGUGACAUUCGAUCCUGUGCCAUGAUUCAUCAUAUGUGUGAGACUUGGUCCCAGCACACCUGGUGAUUAUGUUCGCGCCCGGGUCUUGGUGCCCCAAAAUCCGGGUGUGACAGAAGUGGUAUCAGAGGAAUGUUGACUGUAGGACGAAACCUAGAUAGAACUGGACAACAAAUACUUACUCACCUUUGCUACUCUGAUUCUUUUCUAAACUUUUCUUAAUCUUUUCUCAUCUAUUUCCGCUUUACUCUGAUUAUUCUUACCUUUUCAUUCUAAAGACAAAUGUGGAUUUCACACUUUGAAAUCAUGUGCCUAAAGUGACUUUAGGAAUAGGAGACCUACUCUUAGGAACAAAAACAAAACUAUUUUUAUAGGUAUUUGUAUGCUUGAAUGUUUGUUCUUAUGAUACUUGUUUGAUUUGGAUCUUUGAUUGAGUGAGAUAAGUUGUGGAGUAAUGUCCACAAUUACAUCUGCAUAUACAUAUAGGUAUAAAUAUAAAUAAAUAAAUUCAUAAGAUAACUAAACAACAUGAGUUAUCUUCCAUUAAAGUGUAUCUAUUUUAUAUAGAUCCCUCAUAUCUUAAAAGACUCUCUCUUACCUUAAUAAGAUUCAUCUUAUCUUGAAAAUAUUUUAUCUUAUCCUAAUAGAUCUAACUGACCUCACAAGAUUCUACCUUAUCCUUAUGGAUUUAUCUUGUUCUAAUAGGCAUACCUAUAGUAACAACCAUGAUCUAGCCUAAAAUAAAUAGAUCUUAUCUAGUUAUACCAAUCUGAUCUAGAUCCCAUCUAAUCUAACAUGAUCUAAUCCAAAUUGAGUUACUUAAAUAAGUUAUAAUGUUGGCGACAUAAAUUAUGCCAUAAUUCUAUAAACAUACCUUACCCUAAAUUAAUACCUUGGACUAACUCAUCCGUAAAAAAACAACCUAACCUACAUCAUAGGUUGCCUAAUCUGGAUCUCCCAAAAGCAAAGUAAGACUCUGUUUAAACCUAACUACCUCAUGUACCCUAGCUAUCCUAGCUAUAUGUCCUUAGUCAUAUGUCCUCAACUCGGAUGGCAACUCCAGGAUUGAGGGCCAAAGAAGACCAACAUCAUCAAGGGAGGAUAAGCACCAACUCAAGUCUUCAAAAGGGCAAAGCGGAAUCACUAGAUGAGUCAAGAUCCACCAUCCAUAAUGGAACCUUUCUUUGCCCUAAUCCUUAUUACCGCAACCUUCUCUACUUCUGCCUAAUAGCUAAACAUAGUAUACCCAUGUGUUCCUAAUAAUUUCCUUAUUUAAUGACUUAAAAAAAUAUAUAUAGAAAACAUUUGUGCUUAAAACCAUAAAAAACUCAAAGCUAAAACCAAACAUUUGGCUUUCUAUGUCCCUUUUUCUUACAAAUCUCGAGGACGAGAUUUCUGUUAAGGGGGGUAGGAUUUGUAACACCCACUUUGUAAGAAAAUCGAAAAGGAGAAAAUUAUAUCCCUUUGUAUACAUGAGUGUGUCAUCUCUAUCUAUUAUUUCAUGUGAACACAUUACUUACACAAAUAAACCAUUAACAAGAGACACCCAAAUAAAUGGUGCAUCAUGCUGGAGUUAUGUGAUUGUGCAUUUGUGGAUAAUAAAAAUAAAAGUGCCAAUAACAAUAUAUAAAUGGAUCCAUAGAAUUUAAACCCUAAUUUGAAAACAAAACCUUGAAAAAUUGGAGAAGAAGAAAGAAAGGUACAAAAAUUAUACAAAAUAAAUAUUAUAAAUAAAAGUAAUAUGGGUAUGUUCAAACUAUGUGUUAGUUGAGAAUAAUAAAACCACAACAGUUGGUGAAUUCAAAAUUUAAAGUUCAAAUCAAAAAGGCAAAAGAAAAGGAAGAAGAAAUAGAAAAGAAAAAGAAUGGAACAAACCUGUAACUAGGCCUAAUCUGCGAUGUCGGCCCACUUGUGCUCGUGGUCCGCUACCCAGACUGUGGCCGUACGCCUAUGGAAUUAAGCGCCGGCAGGUGGGGCCCUUUGGGCAGUGGCACUAGCGCUUCCACACUUUCUCUCCUUCACUGAUCCGCGGGGCUGCCUUGCCAGCCACCCCGGGGCACGCCGUGUUCUGGUGAAUCACUGCCUGGUUGGCCCGGUUGCACAGGGUUAUCUUCCCCACAUGAUUCGGCAGCCCGGCCGAAGUUCAUGGCGCCCGCGCAGAUCCGAACUUGCUGGCCGAUGUGGGCCUCGCCUACUGCGUCACCAGCAAGCACUCGCCAACUCCCCUCCUCCAGUCUGCGCGUACACUGGGGAAGCUAUAGCGCAACGAAACCCGCUUCCUGCGUGGCUUCAACGGCGGACUACCGCGCGCAAGCUGCGCGCCAGCCGGAUCCCGGGGCCAUUCCGCCCGCCGGACCCGCGGCAACUAGCUCCGCUUCCUGCUCCGUAAUGGACGCUGCGAGUUCGCCGUUGGGACUAAGCCCACGUAGGUCCGCACGCUUACCAUUGGUGCUCGUCGACCGAUCGGGUCUGCACGUGGAGAUCUCCGGUCAACAGAAGCCGCAGCCAUUGAACCACCUCCGCGGCAAUCGGGGGCAGUUGCAACCACCCCACCGCCUCGGCCUCCUACCCUCACCCCUAUAUAAUCGCGGGCUCCGGUAUCUGCUGCGAAUCGUGGUGCUCGGCGUGCCGCCGUGGGGAGUCGCCGCGAGGUACUGCCGCCAUUAUUCCCGAUCGGUGGUGUGCACACGGUCGCGGGACCCCGCUGGUGUCGCCAGAUCGCGUUGGAGUCGGUGCGUGGAGAGAAGAACGGUCUCGGUGGCCAUAUUCGCUCGCCGCCGCCGCGACUUCGCCCCACGCCGUGGAUCACUCCCUAGCCGCCAUCUCUACCUACGGUGAGCCCCUAGUAUGUUUCGCCAUCGUCUGAAUUGUGCGUAGGGGCCUUCGAAUGACGUUGUAGGGGCCCAGAUCGGCCGAAUCGCGUGGCUCCGGCGAGGAUCCGCCGUGACCUCGGGCGGUGCCGCCCCUGCUCGGGUGUUGACGCAGGGGGGGAAAUUGACGAGGUGCAUCUGGCCGUCUGUUCCGCUGUGAUCGCGUAGGAUUAGGUCUGGGUAGCGCUUUGCCCGCGACCAUUAGAUAUCGAUCGGACGGUGCGGGAUGGAUCAAGCUUCAUAAAAUCAGGGUCGUCGGUUUCCGAUCCUGUGGCUUCCCUUGCGUACCGGUUCGCAAGAUGGCCGAUCUAUUCUGAUCCGUGGAUGUAUGAUCCAACGGCCCAAAUCCCUCCUUACCCCUUCGGCCGUGACCUUUUUACUAAAGGGACCCCAAACUUUCGCAGAAUCAACCCGCAGUAUCCCUCGGAUGUGGCUGUGUUUGGGCGAUUUUGCAAGUUAAACCCCGAGCUCCCUGGUUAUUGUGUGCGCAGUCCAGAGCUCAGAGAAAAUAGGAAAAAUGAAUUUAGAAAAUGAAUUUUCAAUGUAAAAAGAAUUCUAGAACCUAUUUAAUGCAUAGAAAAUUCAUUUUAGCUCCUUUUUAAUCCAUUCCAGUUCCCAUAAUUUUGUAUUAAUAUUGUCUAUUACUUGGUAACACUAUUUUAACAUGAAACCCAUACUAGAAUUAAUUACUCAAUUAAUUUCGUAGCAAACACAUAAAACCUUCAGAAAUUCAUAACUCAUCCGUUAUAAUUCCGAUUUGAUCCGUUCAAGUUGUGUUAGUCUCGUAUAAAUAUUUACUAUGCAAUAACAAUAUUUAUUAUACCAUGCCUCAUUAUUUUAUAAUUAGAUUUCUAUUUAACUUAGGUUGGUUAGUUUCGUUAAUGUAUUCAUCAUUACUUGCUAAACUGUGAUAUAUGAUUAAUUUAUAACUUAGAUUAAAGUUGAGAUAAUUAUUUAUAGAAUAACCACUCAUAUGAUUUACACUAACCAAUUUAUAAUAUGGUUUAAUAUUUAAAUCACGUAGAACUUCUUAAUCGUAACUCCGAUCUUAGUAGUUCUCAAUCCCACGAGCUCGUAGCGACGCGUAGAUCAUUAUUAUUCAGUUGUACUUAUGUUUGGUGUGAUGUUAAUUUUGUAUAUACCAUGUUUGUUUGUAUUGCUACGACUAGCAGUGAGGUCACGAGAAUCUGAAGAAUCAUCCUGGUACCUGGAAUCUCAAGUCUCAGGCAAGUUGUGCCCUUGAUCACUUCUUUUUACCCACUCAUGUUCUAAUUAAUCAUAAUGAUCUGCAUAGGUUAAUUUUGAUGGGACCCAAUAGGUUACCCUAGUUUGUCUAUCUUUAUACCUUGUUUACCACUUAACUUUUUGGGUAGUACUUGCUAGUGCUUUAUGUGGUUUUGGGUAUGAAGAUACAUUAUUCAUAAUUACACUUUUGCUAUCAGUUGUUAUUUACUGUUCAUGAUAAGAUCAUUAUGUUAAUUGGAACAUGGAGAACCACCCGGGAAAACAGUGCUACCACAAGGGUUUAAUGGGACGCCCUUGGCCGAUUAAUUAGGAAAGCUAGUGGAAGACUACCUUACCCGAAAGGGGCAAGGGCAGUAGGGGAGUGGUCAGUGUAGGGAGGCCCUCGGGAGGAUUUUGCUGCGAUGGCGGUCCUGCAAGGGAUUCCUGCAUUGGAGCUUCCUAUAAACUGUAGCGGGUUUUCUGAAGCUAGUGGAACUUUGUAAAGGCCUCGUAGUGUUACCCUGCCUCGCCUCCUCGGUAGAGGUGUAUGGGAAGUCGCGAUCCCUUGGCAGAUGGGUAACAUGACUUGUGGGUAAAGAUGCGCCACCUCUGCAGAGUGUAAAACUGGUAUACUAGCCGUGCUCACGGUCAUGAGCGGCUCGGACACUCACAUGAUUAAAUUAUGGAACUUAAACUCAAUUUGUCAUGUGCAUUGCAUCGCAGGUGAGGUUGUUACUUUUGUUCUACUACUUAAUUGGGCUGGUAUUUACUUAUACUUAGUAAUUGCUAAUAAAAUUUUGACCAACUUUAAAAGCAAUGCUCAGCUCUAACCAUCCUCUUUGGUAAGCCUUACACUUCACAUGAACUCCCACCUUUGGCGAGUUCAUUCACAUUAUUCCCCACAACUUGUUGAGCGAUGAACGUAUGUGAGCUCACUCUUGCUAUCUCACACCCCCCACAGGUCAAGAACAGGUACCACAGGAUGAGGCGCGUGGAGGAUGCUGCGAUGAGUUCGUGAGUGGUCUAGGUCGUCGUCUCCCAGUCAACUUUGGGUUGCUGGACCGUUGUCUCCUCAUAAUGUAAUUAUUUAUUUAUUUUGUAUAGAACUUCUAUUAUAUAGUAAAGAUGUGACAUUCGAUCCUGUGCCAUGAUUCAUCAUAUGUGUGAGACUUGGUCCCAGCACACCUGGUGAUUAUGUUCGCGCCCGGGUCUUGGUGCCCCAAAAUCCGGGUGUGACAUUUCCCGACGGUGAUGAGUUCAGCUUGGAGUUCUCUGGUGCACCGGACACUGUCCGGUGGCCCACCGGACAGUCCGGUGCGCCAGACCAGGGCACACUUCGGUUGUCCCUUGCUCUCUUUGUUUGAACCCUUUUCUUGGUCUUUUUAUUGGCUUAGUGUGAACCUUUGGCACCUGUAUAACUUAUAGACUAGAGCAAACUAGUUAGUCCAAUUAUUUGUGUUGGGCAAUUCAACCACCAAAAUCAAUUAGGAAAUAGGUGUAAGCCUAAUUCCCUUUCAAUCUCCCCCUUUUUGGUGAUUGAUGCCAACACAAUACCAAAGCAAGUAUAGAAAUGCAUAAUUGAACUAGUUUGCAUAAUGUAAGUGCAAAGGUUACUUAGAAUUGAGCCAGUAUAAAUUUUCAUAAGAUAUGCAUGGUUUGUUUCUUUAUUUUUAACAUUUUGGACCACGCUUGCACCACUCAUUUUGUUUUUUGCAAAUUCUUUUGUAAAUCCUUUUCAAAGUCCUUUUGCAAAUAGUCAAAGGUAAAUGAAUAAGAUUUUGCGAAGCAUUUUCAAGAUUUGAAAUUUUCUCCCCCUGUUUCAAAUGCUUUUCCUUUGACUAAACAAAACUCCCCCUCAAUGAAAUUCUCCUCUUAGUGUUCAAGAGGGUUUUAAGAUAUCAAUUUUGAAAAUACUACCUUCUCCCCCUUUUGAACACAAUAAGAUACCAAUUUGAAAAUCAUUAGUUUUAAAAUUAGGUGGUGGUGCGGUCCUUUUGCUUUGGGCUAAUACUUUCUCCCCCUUUGGCAUAAAUCGCCAAAAACGGAUACUUUGAGUGAAAUAUAAGCCCUUUCCUAACUACUUUCUCCCCUUUGGCAAGUAAAACCUGAGUGAAGAUUAUACCAAAGACGGAGAGUUGCUCGGAGCGACGGCGAAGGAUGAGUUAUGGAGUGGAGUGGAAGCCUUUGUCUUCGCCGAAGACUCCAAUUCCCUUUCAAUACACCUAUGACUUGGAUUGAAAUUCACUUGAAGACACAUUAGUCAUAGCAUAUGAAAGAGACAUGAUCAAGGGUAUAUUAAUGAGCUAUAUGUGCAAGAUAUCAAAAGAAAUUCCUAGAAUCAAGAAUAUUUAGCUCAUGCCUAAGUUUGUUAAAAGUUUGUUCAUCUAGUGGCUUGGUAAAGAUAUCGGCUAAUUGAUCUUUAGUGUUAAUAUAUGCAAUCUCGAUAUCUCCCUUUUGUUGGUGAUCCCUUAGAAAAUGAUAUCGAAUGGCUAUGUGUUUAGUGCGGCUAUGCUCAACGGGAUUAUCCGCCAUGCGGAUUGCACUCUCAUUAUCACAUAGAAGAGGAACUUUGGUUAAUUUGUAACCAUAGUCCCUAAGGGUUUGCCUCAUCCAAAGUAGUUGCGCGCAACAAUGUCCUGCGGCAAUAUACUCGGCUUCGGCGGUAGAAAGAGCUACGGAAUUUUGCUUCUUUGAAGCCCAAGACACCAAGGAUCUUCCCAAGAACUGGCAAGUCCCCGAUGUGCUCUUUCUAUUAAUUUUACACCCCGCUCAAUCGGCAUCCGAAUAACCAAUUAAAUCAAAGGUGGAUCCCCUAGGAUACCAAAGCCCAAACUUAGGAGUAUAAACUAAAUAUCUCAAGAUUCAUUUUACGGCCGUAAGGUGAGCUUCCUUAGGGUCGGCUUGGAAUCUUGCACACAUGCAUACGGAAAGCAUAAUAUCCGGUCGAGAUGCACAUAAAUAGAGUAAAGAGCCUAUCAUCGACCGGUAUACCUUUUGAUCUACGGAUUUACCUUCCAUGUCGAGGUCGAGAUGCCCAUUGGUUCCCAUGGGUGUCUUGAUGGGUUUGGCAUCCUUCAUCCCAAACUUGCUUAGAAUAUCUUGAGUAUACUUUGUUUGGCUUAGGAAGGUGCCCUCUUGGAGUUGCUUCACUUGAAAUCCCAAGAAGUACUUCAACUCCCCCAUCAUUGACAUCUCGAAUUUUUGUGUCAUGAUCCUACUAAACUCUUCACAUGUAGAUUCGUUAGUAGACCCAAAUAUAAUAUCAUAAACAUAAAUUUGCCAUACAAACAAAUCAUUUUCAAGUGUUUUGGUAAAGAGUGUAGGAUCGGCCUUUCCGACUUUGAAUCCAUUAGUGAUAAGGAAAUCUCUAAGGCAUUCAUACCAUGCUCUUGGGGCUUGCUUGAGCCCAUAAAGCGCCUUAGAGAGUUUAUAAACAUGGUUAGGAUACUCACUAUCUUCAAAGCCGGGAGGUUGCUCAACAUAAACCUCUUCCUUGAUUGGUCCAUUGAGGAAGGCACUCUUCACGUCCAUUUGAUAAAGCUUGAAGCCAUGGUAAGUAGCAUAGGCAAGCAAUAUACGAAUUGACUCAAGCCUAGCUACGGGUGCAUAGGUUUCACCGAAAUCCAAGCCUUCGACUUGUGAAUAUCCUUUGGCCACAAGUCGAGCUUUGUUCCUUGUCACCACACCAUGCUCGUCUUGCUUGUUGCGGAAGACCCAUUUGGUUCCUACAACAUUUUGAUUAGGACGUGGAACCAAAUGCCAUACCUCAUUCCUAGUGAAGUUGUUGAGCUCCUCUUGCAUCGCCACCACCCAAUCCGAAUCUUGUAGUGCUUCCUCUACCCUGUGUGGCUCCAUAGAGGAAACAAAAGAGUAAUGCUCACAAAAAUGUGCAACACGAGAUCUAGUUGUUACCCCCUUAUGAAUGUCGCCGAGGAUUGUGUCGACGGGGUGAUCUCGUUGGAUUGCUUGGUGGACUCUUGGGUGUGGCGGCCUUGGUUCUUCAUCCUCCUUGUCUUGAUCAUUUGCAUCUCCCCCUUGAUUGUUGCCGUCAUCUUGAGGUGGCUCUUGAUCUUCUCCUUCAUCAACUUGAGCCUCAUCCUCAUUUUGAGUUGGUGGAGAUGCUUGCAUGGAGGAGGAUGGUUGAUCUUGUGCAUUUGGAGGCUCUUCGGAUUCCUUAGGACACACAUCCCCAAUGGACAUGUUCCUUAGCGCGAUGCACGGAACCUCUUCAUCGCCUAUCUCAUCAAGAUCAACUUGCUCUACUUGAGAGCCGUUAGUCUCAUCAAACACAACGUCACAAGAAACUUCAACUAGUCCUGACAACAUCACAAGAAACUUCAACUAGUCCUGAGGACUUGUUAAAGACUCUAUAUGACCUUGUGUUUGAAUCAUAUCCUAGUAAAAAGCCUUCUACAGUCUUAGGAGCAAAUUUAGAUUUUCUACCUCUUUUAACAAGAAUAAAGCAUUUGCUACCAAAGACUCUAAAAUAUGAAAUAUUGGGCUUUUUACCGGUUAGGAGUUCGUAUGAUGUCUUCUUGAGGAUUCGGUGUAGAUACAACCGGUUGAUGGCGUAGCAGGCGGUGUUGACCGCCUCGGCCCAAAACCGAUCCGAGGUCUUGUACUCAUCAAGCAUGGUUCUUGCCAUGUCCAAUAGAGUUCUAUUCUUCCUCUCCACUACACCAUUUUGUUGUGGCGUGUAGGGAGAAGAGAACUCAUGCUUGAUGCCCUCCUCCUCAAGGAAGCCUUCAAUUUGAGAGUUCUUGAACUCCGUCCCGUUGUCGCUUCUAAUUUUCUUGAUCCUUAAGCCGAACUCGUUUUGAGCCCGUCUCAAGAAUCCUUUUAAAGUCUCUUGGGUAUGAGAUUUUUCCUACAAAAAGAACACCCAAGUGAAGCGAGAAUAAUCAUCCACAAUAACUAGACAGUACUUACUCCCGCCGAUGCUUAUGUAAGCAAUCGGGCCGAAUAGAUCCAUGUGUAGGAGCUCGAGCGGCCUGUCAGUCGUCAUGAUGUUCUUGUGCGGAUGAUGAGCACCAACUUGCUUCCCUGCCUGACAUGUGCUACAAACCCUGUCGUUCUCAAAAUGAACAUUUGUUAGUCCCAAAAUGUGUUCUCCCUUUAGAAGUUUGUGAAGAUUCUUCAUUCCAACAUGUGCUAGUCGGCGAUGCCAGAGCUAGCCCAUGUUAGUCUUAGCAAUUAUGCAAGUGUCGAGUUCAGCUCUAUCAAAAUCCACUAAGUAUAGUUGACCCUCUAACACUCCCUUAAAUGCUAUUGAAUCAUCACUUCUUCUAAAGACAGUGACACCUACAUCAGUAAAUAGACAGUUGUAGCCCAUUUGACAUAAUUGAGAAACGGAAAGCAAAUUGUAAUCUAAAGAAUCUACAAGAAAAACAUUGGAAAUAGAAUGGUCAGGUGAUAUAGCAAUUUUACCUAAUCCUUUGACCAAACCUUGGUUUCCAUCCCCGAAUGUGAUAGCUCGUUGAGGAUCUUGGUUUUUCUCGUAGGAGGAGAACAUCUUCUUCUCUCCUGUCAUGUGGUUUGUGCACCCGCUGUCGAUGAUCCAACUUGAGCCCCCGGAUGCAUAAACCUACAAAACAAGUUUAGUUCUUGACUUUAGGUACCCAAACUGUUUUGGGUCCUUUGGCAUUAGAUACAAGAACUUUGGGUACCCAAACACAAGUUUUUGAUCCCUUGUGUUUGCCCCCAACAAACUUGGCAACCACCUUGCCUGAUUUGUUAGUUAAGACAUAGGAUGCAUCAAGAGUUUUAAAGGAAAUGUCAUGAUCAUUUGAUGCACUAGGAGUUUUCUUCUUAGGCAACUUAGCACGGGUUGGUUGACUAGAACUAGAUGUCUCACCCUUAUACAUAAAAGCAUGGUUAGGGCCAGAGUGAGACUUCCUAGAAUGAAUUUUCCUAAUUUUGCUCUCGGGAUAACCGGCAGGAUACAAAAUGUAACCCUCGUUAUCCUGAGGCAUGGGAGCCUUGCCCUUAACAAAGUUGGACAAUUUCUUAGGAGGGGCAUUAAGUUUGACAUUGCCUCCCUGUUGGAAACCAAUGCCAUCCUUAAUGCCGGGGCGUCUCCCAUUAUAAAGCAUACUACGAGCAAACUUAAAUUUUUCAUUUUCUAGUUCAUGCUCGGCAAUUUUAGCAUCUAAUUUAGCUAUAUGAUCAUUUUGUUGUUUAAUCAUGGAAAGGUGAUCAUGUAUAGCAUUAAUAUCAACAUCUCUACAUCUAGUGCAAAUAGUGACAUGCUCAGUGGUAGAUGUAGAGGGUUUGCAAGAAUUAAGUUCAACAAUCUUAGUACGCAAUAUAUCAUUUUUAUCUCUAAGAUCGAAAAUUGUAACAAUGCAAACAUCUAGUUCUUUAGCCUUAGCAAGCAAUUUUUCAUUCUCAAUCCUAAGGCUAGCAAGAGAAAUGUUUAAUUCUUCAAUCUUAGCAAGCAAAUCAUCAUUAUCAUUUCUAAGAUUGGGAAUUGAAACAUCACAAGCAUUUAAAUCAACCUUAGCAAUUAAUUUUGCAUUCUCAUUUCUAAGGUUGUCAACCUUCUCAUGGCAAGUGCUUAGCUCACUAGAUAGUUUUUCACAUUUUUCUACUUCUAGAGCAUAAGCAUUUUUAACCUUAACAUGCUUUUUGUUUUCUUUAAUAAGGAAGUCCUCUUGGGUGUCCAAGAGAUCAUCCUUCUCAUGAAUAGCACUAAUCAAUUCAUUUAAUUUCUCCUUUUGUUGCAUGUUUAGGUUGGCAAAAAGGGUACGCAAAUUAUCCUCCUCAUCACUAGCAUUAUCAUCACUAGAGGACUCAUAUUUAGUGGAGGAUUUGGAUUUAACCUUCUUCUUUUUGCCGUCCUUUGCCAUGAGGCACUUAUGGCCGACGUUGGGGAAGAGGAGACCCUUGGUGACGGCGAUGUUUGCGGUGUCCUCGUCGAAGGAGGAGUCGGUAGAGCUCUUGUCGGAGUCCCAUUCCCGGCAAACAUGGGCAUCGCCGCCCUUCUUCUUGUAGUAUCUCUUCUUCUCCUUUCUUCUCCCCUUCUUGUCGUCGCCCCUGUCACUGUCACUAGAUAGUGGACAUUUUGCAAUAAAAUGACCGGGCUUACCACAUUUGUAGUACACUUUCUUAGAGCGGGGCUUGUAAUCCUUCCCCCUCCUUUGCUUGAGGAUUUGGCGGAAGCUCUUGAUGACGAGCGCCAUCUCCUCAUUGUCGAGCUUUGAGGCGUCGAUUAGUUGUCUACUCGAUGUAGACUCCUCCUUCUUUUCCUCCGUCGCCUUGAAUACGACCGGUUGUGCUUCGGACGUGGAGGGGCCAUCAAGCUCGUUGAUCUUCUUUGAGCCUUUGAUCAUUAAUUCAAAGCUCACAAAAUUCCCUAUUACCUCCUCGGGAGACAUUAGUGUAUAUCUAGGAUUUCCUCGAAUUAAUUGAACUUGCGUAGGGUUAAUAAAAACGAGGGAUCUUAGAAUAACCUUGACCAUUUCAUGGUCAUCCCAUUUCUUGCUCCCAAGGUUGCGCACUUGGUUCACCAAGGUCUUGAGCUAGUUGUACAUGUCUUGUGGCUCCUCCCCUUGGCGAAGACGGAAGCGACCGAGCUCCCCCUCGAUCGUUUCCCGCUUGGUGAUUUUGGUCACCUCGUCUCCUUCGUGCGCGGUAUUUAGCGUGUCCCAAAUCUCCUUAGCAUUUUUCAACCCUUGCACCUUGUUAUACUCCUCUCGACUUAGAGAGGCGAGGAGUAUAGUUGAGGCUUGGGAGUUGAAUUGUUGGAUUUGGGCCACUUCAUCCCCUACGGAUGGUACCUGUACACCAAACUCAACUACAUCCCAUAUACUUUUGUGGAGUGAGGUUAGAUGAAAUCGCAUCAAAUCACUCCACCUAGCAUAAUCUUCACCAUCAAAAGUUGGUGGUUUGCCUAAUGGGACGGAAAGUAAAGGCGUAUGUUUAGGAAUGCGAGGAUAGCGUAAGGGGAUCUUACUAAACUUCUUGCGCUCAUGGCGCUUAGAAGUGACGGACGGCGAGUCAGAGCCGGAGGUGGAUGGUGAUGAGGUGUCGGUCUCGUAGUAGACCAUCUUCCUCAUCUUCUUCUUCUUAUCACCGCUCCGACGCGACUUGUGUGAAGGGGAUUCCUAUUCCUUUUCCUUUCCCUUCCCUUUGUUGUAGGACUCUCCCGAUGGAGCCUUCCCAUGGCUUGUAGCGGGCUUCUCGCCGGUCACCAUAUCCUUCUUGGUGUGAUCUCCCGACAUUACUUCGAGCGGUUAGGCUCUAAUGAAGCACCGGCUCUGAUACCAAUUGAAAGUUGCCUAGAGGGGGGUGAAUAGGGCGAAUCUGAAAUUUACAAACUUAAUCACAACUACAAGCCGGGUUAGCGUUAGAAAUAGAAACGAGUCCGAGAGAGGGCGCAAAACAAAUCGCAAGCUAAUAAAGAGUGUGACACAAGGAUUUGUUUUACCGAGGUUCGAUUCUCUCAAACCUACUCCCCGUUGAGGUGGUCACAAUGACCGGGUCUCUUUCAACCCUUUCCCUCUCUCAAACGGUCCCUCGGACCGAGUGAGCUUCUUCUUCUCAAUCAAACAGGAACAAUUUUCCCCGCAAGGACCACCACACAAUUGGUGUCUCUUGCCUCGGUUACAAUUGAGUUGUUUGCAAGAAAGAGUGAAAGAAAGAAGCAAUCCAAGCGCAAGAGCUCAAAAGAACACAACAAAUCUCUCUCACUAAUCACUAAUGCUUUGUGUGGAAUUGGGAGAGGAUUUGAUCACUUGGGUGUGUCUAGAAUUGAAUGCUAGAGCUCUUGUAAGUAGUUGGAAGGUGGAAAACUUGGAUGACUUGAAUGGGGGGUGGUUGGGGGUAUUUAUAACCCCAACCACCAAACUAGCCGUUUGGUGGAGGCUGUUGUCGACGGGCGCACCGAACAGUCCGGUGCGCUAGCCACGUCACCUGGUCGUUGGGUUCCGACCGUUGGAGCUCUGUCUUGUGGGCUCGCCUGGCUGUCCGGUGGCGCACCGGAUAAGUCCAGUAGACUGUCCGGUGUGCCACCCACGCGUGCUCUGUCCUCUGCGCGCGCAGGCGCGCAUUUAAUGCGUUGCAGUCGACCGUUGCGCGCGAAGUAGUCGUUGCUCCGCUGGCUCACUGGACAGUCCAGUGUGCACCGGACAUGUCUGGUGAAUUAUAGCGGGGCGGAUUCCCGAAGCUGGCGAGUUCAGAGCCGCUCUUCCUUAGGGCACCGGACACUGUCCGGUGGUGCACCAGACAGUCCGGUGAAUUAUAGCGAAGCGCCUCUGAGAUUUCCCGACGGUGAUGAGUUCAGCUUGGAGUUCCCUGGUGCACCGGACACUGUCCGGUGGCACACCGAAUAGUCCGGUGCGCCAGACCAGGGCACACUCCGGUUGUCCCUUGCUCUCUUUGUUUGAACCCUUUUCUUGGUCUUUUUAUUGCUUUAGUGUGAACCUUUGGCACCUGUAUAACUUAUAGACUGGAGCAAACUAGUUAGUCCAAUUAUUUGUGUUGGGCAAUUCAACCACCAAAAUCAAUUAGGAAAUAGGUGUAAGCCUAAUUCCCUUUCAGUCAUCCUGGUGUCGCGGAUGGUCCGCCGCAAGGGCCCGGACGGUCCGCGCUUAGUCUGUUUUUCCAAAAAGCUUCUCUUGUCCGGAAUAAUCUACGGUAUUCCGGACAGUCGAUUUAUAUUAGUUGUAGAUGAACUUAUGCACAUGUGGAAUGAUCAACUAGACAAACUGGUUAGUCCACAAGGUUUGUGAUGGUCGUCAAACACCAAAAUCGAUUAUAGGAAAUGUUGAGACUAUUUCCCUUUCAAUCUCCCCCUUUUUGGUGAUUGAUGCCAACACAAACCAAAGCAAAUACAAAGUGUAGAAAUGUAACUAGUUUGCAUUUUGACAGAUGUGCAUAAGUUAUUUUGAAAUGAAAGCAUUUCUAAGCAGAUAAGUUUGAUAUGAUAAUUUUAACAUUUUGGACCACAUUUGCACCACUUGUUUUGUUUUUGCAAAUUCUUUUGGAAAAUCUUUUCAAAGUCUUUUUGCAAAUAGUCAAAGGUAUAUGAAUAAGAUUGCAAGAAGCAUUUUCAGGAUUUGAAAUUUCUCCUCCUGUUUCAAAUGCUUUUCCUUUGACUAGAACAAAACUCCCCCUAAAUAAAAUUCUCCUCUUAGUGUUCAAGAGGGUUUUUACCAAUUUUUGUAAAUACCAAUUGAAAAAGAUCAAAUACAUUUUGAUACCAAUUUGAAAAAUUCUUGAAAAUUUUGAAUUUGGCGGUGGUGCGGUCCUUUUGCUUUGGGGCUAAUAUUUUCUCCCCCUUUGGCAUGAAUCGCCAAAAACGGAGACUUUUGAAAGCCCUUUUUACUUUCUCCUCCAUUGGUAAAUAAAAUAUGAGUGAAGAUUAUACCAAUCGAAGAGUGGUGUGGGGUGACGGCGAAGGGUAAUUGAUACCGAUAAAGUGGAGUGGAAGCCUUGUCGUCGCCGAAGACUCCAUUUCCCUUUCAAUCUAUGACUUAGUAGAAAUACACUUGAAUACACAUUAGUCAUAGCCUUGGUACAUAAAUAAUACAAAAUUUGCAUUUGUACCAAAAUGAAGGAGAUAUGAUCAAAGGUAUAUAAAUGAGCUAUGUGUGCAAUGUUUCAAUCAAAAUUCCAAGAAUCAAGUAUAUUUAGCUCAUUCCUAAGUUUGGUAAAGGUUUUCUCAUCUAAUGGUUUGGUAAAGAUAUCGGCUAGUUGUUCUUUGGUGCUAACAUAAGCAAUCUCGAUAUCCCCCCUUUGUUGGUGAUCCCUCAAAAAGUGAUACCGAAUGGCUAUGUGCUUAGUGCGGUUGUGUUCAAGGGGAUUAUCCGCCAUGCAGAUUGCACUCUCAUUGUCACAUAGGAGAGGGACUUUGCUCAACUUGUAGCCAUAGUCCCUAAGGGUUUGCCUCAUCCAAAGCAAUUGCGCGCAACAAUGGCCUACGGCAAUAUACUCAGCUUCGGCGAUAGAAAGAGCUACUGAAUUUUGUUUCUUUGAAGCUCAAGACACCAGAGAUCUUCCCAGAAACUGACAAGUCCCUGAUAUGCUCUUUCUAUCAAUUUUACACCCUGCCCAAUCAGCAUCUGAAUAACGUAUUAAAUCAAAAGUGGAUCCCUUGGGGUACAAAAGACCAAACUUAGGUGUAUAAACUAAAUAUCUCAUGAUUCUUUUCACGGCCCUAAGGUGAACUUCCUUAGGGUCGACUUGGAACCUUGCACACAUGCAUACAGAAAGCAUAAUAUUCGGCCGAGAUGCACAUAAAUAGAGUAAAGAUCCUAUCAUUGACCGAUAUACCUUUUGAUCUACGGAUUUACCUCCCGUGUCGAGGUCGAGAUGCCCAUUGGUUCCCAUGGGUGUCUUGAUGGGCUUGGCAUCCUUUAUUCCAAAUUUGGUAAGUAUGUCUUGAAUAUAUUUCGUUUGGCUGAUGAAGGUGCCUUCUUGGAGUUGCUUCAAUUGGAAUCCUAAGAAGUACUUCAACUCCCCCAUCAUAGACAUCUCAAAUUUUUGAAUCAUGAUCCUACUAAACUCUUCACAUGUAGAUUUGUUAGUAGACCCAAAUAUGAUAUCAUCAACAUAAAUUUGGAAUACAAACAAAUCCUUUGCAACAAUUUUAGUAAAGAGAGUAGGAUCGGCUUUACCGACUUUGAAGCCAUUAGUGAUAAGAAAAUCUCUUAGGCAUUCAUACCAUGCUCUUGGGGCUUGCUUAAGCCCAUAAAGCGCCUUUGAGAGUUUGUAAACAUGAUUAGGGUACUCACUAUCUUCAAAGCCGCGAGGUUGCUCAACAUAGACCUCUUCCUUGAUUGGUCCAUUGAGGAAGGCAUUUUUCACGUCCAUUUGGUAAAGCUUAAAGCCAUGGUAAAUAGCAUAGGCAAGUAAUAUACGAAUUGAUUCAAGCCUAGCUACGGGUGCAUAGGUUUCACCUAAAUCCAAACCUUCGACUUGUGAAUAUCCCUUGGCCACAAGUCGGGCUUUGUUUCUUGUCACCACACCAUGCUCAUCUUGCUUGUUGUGGAAUACCCACUUGGUUCCUACAACAUUUUGGUUAGGACGUGGAACAAGAUGCCAUACCUCAUUCCUCGUGAAGUUGUUGAGCUCCUCUUGCAUUGUCAACACCCAAUCCGAAUCUCUUAAUGCAUCUUCCACCCUGUAUGGCUCAAUAGAAGACACAAAAGAGUAAUGUUCACAGAAAUGAGCGACACGAGAUCAAGUAGUUACCCCUUUAUGAAUAUCACCGAGGAUGGAGUUCACGGGGCGAUCUCGUUGUAUCGCUUGGUGGACUCUUGGGUGAGGCGGUCUUUGACCAUGUUCUUCUUGAUCAUCUUCCUUGUCUUUGUCAUGGUCAUCUCCCCCUUGAUCAUUGCCCUCCUCUUGAGGUGGCUCAUCUUCUUAAUCAUCUUCUUCAUUGUCCUGAGCCUGAUCCUCAUCUUGAGUUGGUGGAGAUGCUUGAUUUGAAGAUGAUGGUUGAUCUUGUGCUUGUGGAGGCUCUUCGGAUUCCUUAGGACACACAUCCCCAAUGGACAUGUUCCUUAGCACUACGCACGGAGCCUCUUCAUCAUCUAGUUCAUCAAGAUCAACUUGCUCCACUUGGGAGCCAUUAGUCUCAUCAAACACAAUGUCACAAGAAACCUCAACUAAUCCAGUGGAUUUGUUGAAGACUCUAUAUGCCCUUGUGUUUGAGUCAUAACCAAGUAAAAAACCUUCUACAGCCUUAGGAGCAAAUUUGGAUUUUCUACCUCUUUUAACAAGAAUAAAGCAUUUGCUACCAAAGACUCUAAAAUAUGAAACAUUGGGCUUUUUACCGGUGAGGAGUUCAUAUGAUGUCUUCUUGAGGAUUCGGUGAAGGUAGAGCCGGUUGAUGGAGUAGCAAGCAGUGUUGAUUGCUUCCGCCCAAAACCGGUCCGGAGUCUUGUACUCAUCAAGCAUGGUCCUUGCCAUGUCAAGUAGAGUUCUAUUCUUCCUCUCCACUACACCAUUUUGUUGAGGUGUGUAGGGAGAAGAGAACUCAUGCUUGAUGCCCUCAUCCUCAAGAAAGCCUUCUAUUUGUGAGUUCUUGAACUCCGUCCUGUUGUCACUUCUUAUUUUCUUGAUCCUUAAUCCGAACUCAUUUUGAGCUCGUCUCAAGAAUCCUUUUAAUGUCUCUUGGGUUUGAGUUUAUUCCUGCAAAAAGAAUACCCAAGUGAAGCGAGAAUAAUCAUCCACAAAUACAAGACAAUACUUACUCCCGCCGAUGCUUAUGUAAGCGAUCGGGCUGAAUAGAUCCAUGUGGAGUAGCUCAAGCGGCCUGUCAGUUGUCAUGAUGUUCUUGUGUGGAUGAUGGGUACCAACUUGCUUCCCUGCUUGACAUGCGCUAGAAACUCUGUCUUUCUCAAAAUGAACAUUGGUUAGUCCCAAAAUGUGUUCUCCCUUUAGAAGCUUGUGAAGAUUCUUCAUCCCAACAUGGGCUAGUCGGUGAUGCCAGAGCCAACCCAUAUUAGUCUUAGCAAUUAAGCAAGUAUCGAGUUCAGCUCUAUUAAAAUCAACUAAGUAUAGCUGACCCUCGAGUACUCCCUUAAAUGCUACUGAAUCAUCACUUCUUCUAAAGACAGUAACACCUAAAUCCGUAAAAAGACAGUUGUAACCCAUUUUGCAUAAUUGAGAUACAGAAAGCAAAUUGUAAUCUAAAGAAUCUACAAGAAAAACAUUGGAAAUAGAGUGGUCAAAAGAUAUUGCAAUUUUACCAAGUCCUUUGACCAAACCUUGAUUACCAUCCCCUAAUGUGAUAGCUCUUUGGGGAUCUUCGUCUUUCUCGUAGGAGGAGAACAUCCUUUUCUCCCCUGUCAUGUGGUUUGUGCACCCGCUAUCAAUUAUCCAACUUGAGCCCCCGGAUGCAUUAACCUACAAAACAAGUUUAGGCCUUGUUCUUAGGUACCCAAACGGUCUUGGGUCCUUUCACAUUAGAAACAAGCACCUUGGGUACCCAAACACAAGUCUUGGAGCCCUUGUGUUUGCCCCCAACAUAUGUGGCAACUACUUUGCCUGAUUUGUUAGUUAGCACAUAAGAUGCAUCAAAAGUCUUAAAUGAAAUAUUGGGUUCAUUUGAUGCAACAGGAGAUUUCUUUUUAGGCAUUUUAACAUGGGUAGAAUGUCUAGAACUAGAUGUCUCAUUCUUAUACAUAAAAGCAUGAUGAGAACCAGAAUGAGACUUUUUAGAAUGAAUUCUCCUAAUUUUAUGCUCAGGAUAACCAGCAGGAUAUAAAAUAUAGCCCUCUUUAUCCUGUGCCAUGGGAGCCUUGCCCUUAACAAAAUUGGACAAUCUCUUAGGGGCAUUAAGCUUGACAUUGUCUCCCUGUUGGAAGCCAAUGCCAUCCUUAAUGCCAGAGCGUCUCCCAUUAUAGAGCAUGCUUCUAGCAAAUUUAAAUUUUUCAUUCUUUAUCUCAUGCUCAUUGAUUUUACUAGUUAAUUGUGCUAUGUGAUCAUUUUGUUCUUUAAUUAAAGCUAGGUGAUCAUGAAUAGCAUCAACAUUAAUAUCUCUACAUCUAGUAUAAAUAGAAACAUGAUCAACACUAGAUGUAGAAGGUUUGCAAGAUUUUAAUUCAUCAAUCUUAGCAUGCAAAAUGGUAUUCUCUUUCUAAGAUUGGAAAUAGAGACAUUGCAAACAUUUAAAUCUUUAGCCUUAGAAAUUAAUUUAUCAUUCUAAAUCUUAAGGCUAGAAAUUGAUUCAUUCAAUUUGUCAAUCUUAGCAAUUAAACUAGCAUUAUCAUUUUUAAGAUUGGCAAUUGAUUCAUCACAAGCAUUUCUCUUUUCAACCUUAGCGAUCAAAUUAGCAUUUUCAAUUCUAAGGUUAGAGAUAGUGUCAUGGCAAAUGCUAAGCUCACUAGUGAAUUUUUCACAUUUCUCUGUUUCCUAAGCAUAAGCAUUUUUCACUUUAACAUGCUUCUUGUUUUCCUUAAUAAGGAAUUCCUCUUGGCUAUCCAAGAGUUCAUCCUUCUCAUGAAUGGCACCUAUCAAUUCAUUCAAUUUUUCCUUUUGUUGCAUGUUUAAGUUGGCAAAAAGAGCAAGCAAAUCAUCUUCAUCAUCACUAGAGCUACCCUCAUCACUAGAUGUCGUAUAUUUAGUAGAGGCUCUAGAUUUUACCUUCUUCUUUUUGUCGUCCUUUGCCAUAAGGCACUUGUGGCCAACGUUGGGGAAGAGGAGGCCUUUGUUGACGGUGAUGUUGGCGGCGUCCUCAUCGGAGGAGGAAUCGGUCGUGCUUUCGUCGGAGUCCCAUUCCCGACACACGUGUGCAUCACCGCCCUUCUUCUUGUAGUGCUUCUUGUUUUCCUUCCUCCUUCCCUUCUUGUCGUCGCCCCUGUCACUAUCACUAGACAUAGGACAUUUAGCAAUGAAAUGACCGAGCUUACCACACUUGUAGCACACUUUCUUGAAGCGGGGUUUAUAAUCCUUCUCCCUCCUUUGCUUGAGGAUUUGGCGGAAGCUCUUGAUGAUGAGCGUCAUUUCCUCGUUGUCGAGCUUGGAGGCGUCGAUGGGGAGCCUACUUGAUGUAGACUCUUCUUUCUUUUCUUCCGUCGCUUUGCAUGCGAUGGGUUGCACCUCGGGUGUGGAGGUGCCGCCUUGCUCGAUGAUUUGUUUGGAGCCUUUGAUCAUCAACUCAAAUUAGCUCACAAACUUUCCUAUCACUUCCUCGGGAGACAUUAGCUUAUAUCUAGGAUCACCACGUAUUAAUUGAACUUGAGUAGGAUUACGAAAUACGAGUGAUCUAAGAAUAACCUUGACCAUUUCAUGGUCAUCCCAUUUUGUGCUCCCGAGGUUGCGCACUUGGUUGACCAAGGUCUUGAGCCGGUUGUACAUGACUUGUGGCUCCUCUCCUUGGUUGAGGAUGAAUCGACCGAGCUUCUCCUCGAUCGUAUCCCGCUUGGUGAUCUUGGUCACAUCAUCUCCUUCGUGUGCGGUCUUUAGCAUGUCCCAAAUCUCUUUGGCACUCUUCAACCCUUGCACCUUAUUAUACUCCUCUCGACAUAGAGAGGCGAGGAGUAUAGUAGUGGCUUGGGAGUUGAAGUGCCAGAUUUGGGCGACCUCGUCCGAGUCAUAGCCUUCAUCCCCCAUGGAUGGUACCUGCGCUCCAAACUCAACAAUGUCCCAAAUGCUAGCGUGGAGUGAGGUUAGAUGAUGCCUCAUUUCAUCACUCCACAUACAAUAAUCUUCACCAUCAAAAACCAGUGGUUUGCCUAAUGGGACAGAAAGUAAAGGAGUACAUUUAGAAAUGCAAGAAUAGCGUAGGGGGAUCUUACUAAACUUUUUGCGCUCAUGGCGCUUAGAAGUGAUGGAAGGAGUGUUGGUGCCGGAGGUGGAGGGCGACGAAGAAUCGGUCUCGUAGUAGACCACUUUCUUCAUCUUCUUCUUGUCGCCACUCUGGUGCGACUUGACGCGGGGAGGUGAUUCCUCCCUUCCUUUGGCGCCAGACUCCUUUGAUGGAGCCUUCCCGUGGCUUGUGGCCGUUUCCAUCUCCCUCUUGGCGGAUCCUCCCGACAUCACUUCGAGUUGUUAGACUCUAAUGAAGUAUCGGGCUCCGAUACCAAUUGAAAGUCGCCUAGAGGGGGGUGAAUAGGCGGAAACUGAAAUUUACAAACUUUAAGCACAACUACAAGCCGGGUUUAGCGUUAGAAAUAAAAUCAAGUCCGAAAGAGAGGGGAAAACAAAUCAACCAGAGAAAUAUAGCAGAUGACACGGUGAUUUGUUUUACCGAGGUUCAGUUCUUGAAAACCUACUCCCCAUUGAGGUGGUCACAAAGACCGGGUCUCUUUCAACCCUUUCCCUCUCUCAAACAGUCACUUAGACCGAGUGAGCUUUCUCCUUAACCAAACGGGUCACUUAGACCCCUACAAGGACCACCACAACUUGGUGUCUCUUGCUUUGAUUACAAGUGUCUUGAGAACAAGAAUGGGGAAGAAGAAAGCACGAUUGCAAAAGCCAAGCGACAAGAGCGAUAGAUAACACAUGGAUCACUUUCUCUCUCAAGUCUCUAAUCACUAAUGAUCACUUGUCUCAAUUGUGGAACUUGGAGAGAUUAGAAGCUUUGAUUGUGUCUUUGAAUGGACUACUAGCUCUUGUAUUGAAUGUGAAAGAUUGGAGUGCUUGGGUGAAGUGAAUGGAGGUAGUUGGGGUUGUAUUUAUAGCCCCCAACCACUUCCUAGUUGUUGCUCCUUUUCUGCCGACCGCGGACGGUCCGCGCCCCUGGUCCGGACGGUUCGCCCCUGCACAUCAACGGCUGAAAUCGCAACGGUCAGCAGUAACGGCUAUAUCAACGGCUAUAUAGCAUUUAAUGUGUCGUUAGAUGUCAGAUAAAGGCAGUCGCGGACGGUCCGGUCGUGCACCCCGGACGGUCCGCGAGGACGCUAUAAUUCAUUUUACCGAACCCGUCACCUUCGGGUUUUUUGGUUCUGCGCCGACCGGACGGUCCGCGCCUGAGGCCGGACGGUCCGCGCUUGGUCUCGAACGGUGCUUGCUUUUCCAUCGGACGGUCCAUAGUGUAGACUUGUGUUUUGCAUUGGUUCUGUCCGAGGGUCAUCCUGGUGUCGCGGAUGGUCCGCCGCAAGGGCCCGGACGGUCCGCGCUUAGUCUGUUUUUCCAAAAAGCUUCUCCUGUCCGGAAUAAUCUACGGUAUUCCAGACAGUCGAUUUAUAUUAGUUGUAGAUGAACUUAUGCACCUGUGGAAUGAUCAACUAGACAAACUGGUUAGUCCACAAGGUUUGUGAUGGUCGUCAAACACCAAAAUCGAUUAUAGGAAAUGUUGAGACUAUUUCCAUUUCAAAAACCACUCUUGCCCUUGAACCCGACGGGGACCCAAAACCCAAUGGGGACCUCAAACCUAUAGGAAGCCAAGGCAGGGAGGGGGAGCCCAUCGCCCACCGCACUAAGGAGUAGGGCACGAAGGAGGGAGAGCCAUGAAGUAGGGGAUUAGGCCAGGGAGUGAGGCACCGGGUUAGAGAGCGAGUGCCACCAUGUCGGGGAGCUAGGCAAAGGGAGUAGGGCACCAAGCUUAGGAGUGAGGCACCAGGGAGGAUGGUGCCAGGGAGGGCGAAAUGGGGAGCAGAGCUUUGGGUUAGGGUGAGUGGCAUUGGGCUAGAGAGUAGAGCACCACCACAUCAGGGAGCUCCUUGGGUCCCUAUGGAACUCAUCAGUGGGAGUUAAAACCCACCUCGCACUCGGUGUUCCUCGGGUCCCUAAACCCGCAGACCCAUAGGGGGGACUAGUCUUCUGCCCCCGUCGAGUCUAAGACCUGCAGGGACCCGCCACGUUGCCAACCCCUACAUGUACAUCAUCGUAAGGAGAAGAAGCCACCUACUAAAUCAUUCACUCAUGAUUUGAUUUGUGAACAUGAGUUCUUGACAAAAAACAUCUCUUGCAUAAGUGAUCUAGGACAAAGAUUCACACCAUACCUUCAAUUUAUAUGGUCUAUUGGAGCUACUAGCUCAAGGGUUUGCUAACAAAAAAAUAGUACAAACUAGUUAUAUCUAAUGUACUUGUGCUAUCUAUGAGGAGUUUGAUAUGUUGUCAAAAGGGACUAUUAGCAAGUUGGGUGAUAGUGAUAACAAGGAAGGUCAUGCCACAACUUGUGUGGGUCUUGGGAGAUAGAUGGCCAUUGGGGCAAGUGGAGUUUAGCACAAAUCAUUUUAUAGGUUGUGAGUUGUUCGAAGAAGUGGCUCACAAAGUUCUGUGGGUUGAGUACCAACUAUAGGAUGUUAGUUUUGGCCAUCAAUUAUUAAAACAAGGGGAUAAGAAAUGCACAAAUAACAAGAAGACAAAAUAGAUGCUUAAGAUUGAUGGAUUAUUAUUACUUCUAGGGCAUGCUAUUGAUACUUCAUAUCAAGACUUUGAAGAAAUGAUGUGCUCUCAAAUAUGUCUAAAGUUGCUAAAAAUUUACUAGGUAGACCUAGGAGUAAUAUUGCACAUAUGACUAAAAAAUCUCAUCCUAGAGAAGAAUUGGUUUUAGUCUAACACGUAGGCCAAACAAAAGAUUGGUAUUUCAUUAGAUGGUGACAUUAUUGGUGCUCCUUAACGUAUCUUAUUCAACCACCAACAUGAUGUGGAAUUGUAACUCUUAUGCAUAGCAAAAUAGUUACUGGACUUAUUCUGAUGAGUUCCACAAGACUUAUUCAAAACUUCAAUGCAAAGAUUACAUCAGAAAAAAUUUAACCAAUUCGGCCCCAAAUGGAGGGUCAUCGAUGCUAGGGGGUUACUUAACCUACAUUGUGACCACUGACGCAUUCUAUAUCAUAAAUAUGCAAGGAAGCACACUUAGAAAUGGUGUGGAAUGUUGAAUCAAUGCUAGUUUCGUCAAGGAGGCCGACUAUGGCUCACAUGGAUAAAAGGGCCCACACCAUCCAUGCAAGCAAACACAAACUCACACAAUCCCCACUAUCAUGGUUCUGUUCACAUCAUAGAUUAGGAACAUGUUGAAGAUCAAAUGAAAUGGGAUAUCUCCAGGUCGCCAGACCUACAUUGGGUUGGUUGGUUAUAAUAAUCUGAUGUUAUAAAUAUGAAUGAAUUUUUUCUAGAAAUUUGGUCAAACUUUAAAAAUAACUUAAAACAACUCUAAAAUCUAUUUUAAAAAAACUCUAGAAUAUAUUUAUUUAAGAAGAGUAGUAUUUUUGUUUCUGCGUAGAAAUGUGUUCUCUACUCCCAUUGUUGCCUACUACAUUCGUCCAAUUAGCAGUCAUUGAUAUCGGACAACAGAAAUUUCUAUAUAUUAAAGUGGGACGCAAACAUGCGCCAUUGUUCGUCCACGUCGGCUUUUGAAACACUAGUCGUUCGAUACUGCCUCAACGGCAAGGGAAGCACUGCCCCAACGACAAGGAAAGCACGAGCACAACACAAAAGGGAGUCAAAGCGAUACGACUAGAAUUCCUCACUCGUCACCAGAUGUGUUUAGAGACUUCUAGGCCGUCUCCACAUAUUGGUGCAGCAGUGGAUUUUGCAAUACUAAAAAGUGAAAGGGAAAUGUGCCCUUGGGCCAUUUCUAAGUAUUUUGGUGAUUGAGUGUCAACACAAGUGCUUAAAUGUGAAUCUAUGCCCAUGGAUGAACAAAGUGCAAAUCUAGAGCAAAGGUAUGUUUCUAAGUCUUAGUACAUUGGUUUUGUGUACUAAUAUACUUGUCUAAGUAUCAGAAACAGGAAGAAGAAGAAAAGAGGAGAGUUGGCUGUGUACAGCCAAAAGGCUGUUUCGGUCUGGGGCACCGGACUGUCCGGUGGUGCACCGGACAGUGUCCGGUGCGCCAGGCUGCCUCGGGCUAACUGGCCGCUCUCGGGAGUUGACUGGUGACGUACGGCUAAAAUUCACCGGACUGUCCGGUGUGCACCGGACUGUCCGGUGAGCCAACGGUCGGCCAGGCCAACGGACGGCCGCGCGAUCUGCGCGGGACACGUGGCCGAGCCAACGGUCGGAAGGGGGCACCGGACUGUCCGGUGCACCAACGGCUCCCAUAUCUCCAACGGUCGACUGCGCUGUUUAAGGAAGGAAAUCGGGCACCGGACAGUGUCCGGUGUGCACCGGACUGUCCGGUGCGCCCGACGACAGAAGGCAAGGAUGGCCUUCUGGAUUUGUUCUCAACGGCUCCUAGCUGCCUUGGGGCUAUAAAAGGGACCCCUAGGCGCAUGGAGGAGUACACCAAGCAUUCCUACAACAUUCCUAAGCACCAAGACAUCGAUCUCACGCAUUCGUUUCAUUGUGAUAGCAUCUAGAGCUCUUGUUGAGUUGCGAACUCUUUGAGUUGUGUUGCGAGCUCUUGUUGCGUCUUGUGUGCGUUGCUCAUUCCCCCUUUGCUCUGUGUUCUUUGUGAACUUCAAUUGUAAGGGCGAGAGGCUCCAAAUUGUGGAGAUUCCUCGCAAACGGGAUUGAGAAAAAGCAAGCAAAACACCGUGGUAUUCAAGUGGGUCUUUGGACCGCUUGAGAGGGGUUGAUUGCAACCCUCGUCCGUUGGGACGCCACAACGUGGAGUAGGCAAGCGUUGGUCUUGGCCGAACCACGGGAUAAACCACUGUGUCAUCUCUGUGAUUGAUCUCUUGUGGUAUUGUGUUUUGUUGAGACUCCUUUCUAGCCACUUGGCAUUUAUUGUGCUAACACUUAACAAGUUUUUGUGGCUAUAAGCUUAAGUUUUACAGGAUCACCUAUUCACCCCCCCCCCCUCUAGGAGCUCUCAAUUGGUAUCGGAGCCGUUCUCUUCAAGAAAGGGACUAACCGCCCGAAGAGAUGGAUCCUAAGGGGAAGGGAAUCGUGAUCAACGACAAGGAAAAGGAGUCCUUCGUCAACGAGCCAAAAGAUGACAAAUCCAACGACUCUGGCUCGGGCCACAGACGUAAAGAUGGGAAGAAGAAGAAGACAAGACGUAUCAAGGAGAUCGUCUACUACGACAGCGACGAGUCUACUUCUUCCCACAAGGACGACGACUACGACAAACAAAAGACGGUUAACUCAAACUUUUCUUUUGAUUAUUCGCGCAUUCCGCACAGCUCAAAUGCUCAUUUGCUCCCCAUUCCACUUGGCAAGCCUCCUCACUUUGAUGGAGAGGACUACGGAUUUUGGAGUCACAAAAUGCGUACACACCUAUUUUCUCUCCAUCCAAGCAUUUGGGAGAUUGUGGAAAGUGGAAUGAAAUUUGAUAGCUCGGAUAGUCCUUCGUUUAUUAAUGAACAGAUCCAUAAAAAUGCACAAGCUACUACUGUGUUGCUAGCCUCUUUGUGCAGGGACGAGUAUCACAAGGUGAGCGGCUUGGACAAUGCCAAGCAGAUUUGGGACACCCUCAAGAUCUCUCAUGAGGGGAAUGAUGUCACCUUACUCACCAAGAUGGAGUUGGUGGAGGGCGAGCUCGGACGAUUCGCGAUGAUAAGGGGCGAGGAGCCGACGCAAACAUACAACCGGCUCAAGAUUCUUAUCAACAAAAUAAGGAGCUACGGAAGCACGCGAUGGACGGAUCACGACAUCGUCCGCCUAAUGCUAAGGUCAUUUACCGUUCUUGAUCCUCAUCUCGUGAACAAUAUUCGUGAGAAUCCCAGGUACACGAAGAUGACGCCCGAGGAGGUACUCGGAAAAUUCGUAAGCGGGAGGAUGAUGAUCAAGGAGGCAAGAUACGUGGACGACGCCUUGAAUGGACCGAUCAACGAGCCUCAACCCCUUGCUCUCAAGGCAACAAGAAGCAAGGAGGCACUACCUAGCAGGGUGGCACAAAUUAAGGCGGCCGGACUUAAUGAUGAAGAGAUGGCCCUCAUCAUCAAAAGAUUCAAGACGGCGCUUAAAGGUCGCAAGGGACAGCCAAGCAAGACCAAAGCCAAGGGGAAGCGUUCGUGCUUCAAAUGCGGUAAGCUUGGUCAUUUUAUUGCUAACUGUCCCGACAAUGAUAGUGAUUAGGACCAAGGGAACAAGAGGGAGAAGAAGAAGAAUUAUAAGAAGGCAAAGGGCGAGGCUCAUCUUGGCAAGGAGUGGGAUUCGGACUGCUCCUCGUCUGACUCCGACAAUGAGGGACUCGCCGCCACUGCAUUCAACAAGUCAUCCCUCUUCCCCAACGAGCGUCACACUUGCCUCAUGGCAAGAGAGAAGAAGGUAAUCACUCGUAAUGAUGCCACUUAUGAUUCUUCUAGUGACGAUGAGUCUAGUGAUGAUGAAAUAGAUUACUCUAGUUUGUUCAAGGGAUUGGAUAGAAAUAAAAUUGAUAAAAUCAAUGAAUUGAUUGAUGCCUUUAAUGAAAAGGAUAGACUUUUAGAAAAGCAAGAGGAUUUGUUGUAUGAUGAACAUGAUAAGUUUGUAGAGGCACAAAAAUCCUAUGCUUUAGAAGUUAAAAGAAAUGAAGUGCUUUCUAGUGAAUUAUCUUCUUGUCAUGAAAACAUUGCUACUUUAAAGAGUGUUAAUGAUGACUUAAAUGCUAAACUAGAAGUAGCUAGUAAAUCAACAUCUUGUGUAGAAAUUGUUGAAACGUGCACUAGGUGUAAAGAUCUUAAUGUUGAUGCUUGUAGUAAACAUCUAGUUUCAAUUUCUAAAUUGAAUGAUGAAGUGGCUAGUCUUAAUGCUCAACUUAAGGCUAGCAAAAGCGAAUUUGAUAAGCUAAAAUUUGCAAGGGAUGCCUACACGAUUGGUAGACACCCCUCAAUUAAGGAUGGACUUGGCUUCAAAAGGGAAGCCAAGAACUUAACAAGCCAUAAGGCUCCCAUUCCCGCUAAGGAGAAAGGGAAGGCCCCUAUGGCUACUAGUGCUAAAAAGAACCAUGCCUUUUUGUAUCAUGAUAGGAAAAAUUCUAGAAAUGCUUUUAGAAGUUAUGAUGCUUUUGAUUCACAUACGUAUGAUUCUUGUGCUAUGACUGCUUCUAGUUCUCAUGUUAUGCAUGAUAGAAAGGUUGGUAGGAGAAAUGUUGUUAAUGCUCAUAGGAAAGUUCAUGGACCUUCUACAAUUUAUCAUGCCCUAAAUGCUUCCUUUGCUAUUUGUAGAAAGGAUAGGAAGAUAGUUGCUAGGAAGUUAGGGGCAAAAUGCAAGGGAGACAAAACUUGCAUUUGGGUCCCUAAGGAUAUUUGCACUAACCUUGUAGGACCCAACAAGAGUUGGGUACCUAAGUCCCAAGCCUAAAUUUACCUUGCAGGUUUAUGCAUCCGGGGGUUCAAGCUGGAUUAUUGAUAGCGGAUGCACAAACCAUAUGACGGGGGAGAAGAAGAUGUUCACCUCCUACGUCAAGAAUAAGGAUUCCCAAGAUUCAAUUAUAUUCGGUGAUGGGAAUCAAGGCAAGGUAAAAGGGUUAGGUAAAAUUGCAAUUUCUAAUGAGCACUCCAUAUCUAAUGUGUUUUUAGUAGAGUCUCUUGGAUAUAAUUUGCUAUCUGUUAGUCAACUAUGCAACAUGGGGUAUAACUGUCUAUUUACAAAUAUAGAUGUGUCUGUCUUUAGAAGAAGUGAUGGUUCACUAGCUUUUAAGGGUGUAUUAGACGGCAAACUUUAUUUAGUUGAUUUUGCAAAAGAAGAGGCCGGUCUAGAUGCAUGCUUAAUAGCUAAGACUAGCAUGGGCUGGCUGUGGCAUCGCCGCUUAGCACAUGUGGGGAUGAAGAACCUUCACAAGCUUCUAAAGGGAGAACAUGUGAUAGAUUUAACUAACGUGCAUUUCGAAAAAAGAUAGACCUUGUGCAGCUUGUCAAGCAGGUAAACAAGUGGGAGGAGCACAUCACAGCAAGAAUGUGAUGACCACUUCAAGACCCCUGGAGCUGCUGCAUAUGGACCUCUUCGGACCUGUCGCCUAUCUGAGCAUAGGAGGGAGUAAGUAUGGUCUAGUUAUUGUUGAUGACUUUUCCCGCUUCACUUGGGUGUUCUUUUUGCAGGAUAAGUCUGAAACCCAAGGGACCCUCAAGCGCUUCCUCAGGAGAGCUCAAAAUGAGUUUGAGCUCAAGGUGAAGAAGAUAAGGAGCGACAACGGGUCCGAAUUCAAGAAUCUUCAAGUGGAGGAGUUCCUUGAGGAGGAAGGGAUCAAGCACGAGUUCUCCGCUCCCUACACACCACAGCAAAAUGGUGUGGUAGAGAGGAAGAACAGGACGCUAAUCGAUAUGGCGAGAACAAUGCUUGGAGAAUUCAAGACCCCCGAGUGUUUUUGGUCGGAAGCCGUGAACACGGCUUGCCACGCCAUCAACAGGGUCUACCUUCAUCGCCUCCUCAAGAAGACUUCGUAUGAGCUACUAACCGGUAACAAACCCAAUGUAUCUUACUUUCGUGUAUUUGGGAGCAAGUGCUACAUUCUAGUGAAGAAAGGUAGAAAUUCUAAGUUUGCUCCCAAAGCUGUAGAAGGGUUUUUGUUAGGUUAUGACUCAAAUACAAAGGCGUAUAGAGUCUUCAACAAAUCAUCGGGUUUGGUUGAAGUCUCUAGCGACGUUGUAUUUGAUGAGACUAAUGGCUCUCCAAGAGAGCAAGUUGUUGAUUGUGAUGAUGUAGAUGAAGAAGAUGUUCCGACGGUCGCUAUACGAACCAUGGCGAUUGGAGAAGUGCGGCCACAGGAACAAGAUGAACGAGAUCAACCUUCUUCCUCAACUAUGGUGCAUCCCCCAACCGAAGAUGACGAACAGGUACCUCAAGUGGAGGCGCUUGAUCAAGGGGGAGCACAAGAUGAUCAAGUGAUGGAGGAAGAAGCGCAACCGGCACCUCCAACCCAAGUUCGAGCGAUGAUUCAAAGGGAUCAUCCCGUCGACCAAAUUCUGGGUGACAUUAGCAAGGGAGUAACUACUCGAUCUCGAUUAGUUAAUUUUUGUGAGCAUUACUCCUUUGUCUCUUCUAUUGAGCCUUUCAGGGUAGAGGAGGCCUUGGUAGAUCCGGACUGGGUGUUGGCCAUGCAGGAGGAGCUCAACAACUUCAAGCGCAAUGAAGUUUGGACACUGGUGCCUCGUCCGAAGCAAAAUGUUGUGGGAACCAAGUGGGUGUUCCGCAACAAACAGGACGAGCACGGGGUGGUGACGAGGAACAAGGCUCGACUUGUGGCAAAAGGGUAUGCCCAAGUCGCAGGUUUGGACUUUGAGGAGACGUUUGCUCCUGUGGCUAGGCUAGAAUCAAUUCGUAUCUUGCUAGCAUAUGCCGCUCACCAUUCUUUCAGGUUGUACCAAAUGGAUGUGAAGAGCGCUUUCCUCAACGGGCCAAUCAAGGAGGAGGUGUACGUGGAGCAACCCCCUGGCUUCGAGGAUGAACGGUACCCCGACCACGUGUGUAAGCUCUCUAAGGCGCUCUAUGGACUUAAGCAAGCCCCAAGAGCAUGGUAUGAAUGCCUUAGAGACUUUUUAAUUGCUAAUGCUUUCAAGGUUGGGAAAGCCGAUCCAACUCUUUUUACAAAGACAUGUGAUGGUGACUUGUUUGUGUGCCAAAUUUAUGUCGAUGACAUAAUAUUUGGUUCUACUAACCAAAAGUCUUGUGAAGAGUUUAGCAGGGUGAUGACGCAGAAGUUUGAGAUGUCGAUGAUGGGCGAGUUGAACUACUUCCUUGGGUUCCAAGUGAAGCAACUCAAGGACGGCACCUUCAUCUCCCAAACAAAGUACACGCAAGAUCUGCUAAAGCGGUUUGGGAUGAAGGACGCCAAGCCCGCAAAGACUCCGAUGGGGACCGACGGACACACCGACCUCAACAAAGGAGGUAAGUCCGUUGAUCAAAAAGCAUACCGGUCAAUGAUAGGUUCUUUGCUUUACUUAUGUGCUAGUAGACCGGAUAUUAUGCUUAGCGUAUGCAUGUGUGCUAGAUUUCAAUCCGAUCCUAAGGAGUGUCACUUAGUGGCGGUGAAGCGAAUUCUUAGAUAUUUGGUUGCUACGCCUUGCUUCGGGCUCUGGUAUCCAAAGGGGUCUACCUUUGACUUAGUUGGAUACUCAGACUCCGACUAUGCUGGAUGUAAGGUCGAUAGGAAGAGUACAUCGGGAACGUGCCAAUUCUUAGGAAGGUCCCUGGUGUCAUGGAACUCUAAGAAACAAACCUCCGUUGCCCUAUCCACCGCUGAGGCCGAGUACGUUGCCGCAGGUCAGUGUUGCGCGCAACUACUUUGGAUGAGGCAAACCCUCCGGGACUUUGGCUACAAUCUGAGCAAAGUCCCACUCCUAUGUGACAAUGAGAGUGCUAUCCGCAUGGCGGAGAAUCCUGUUGAGCACAGCCGCACAAAGCACAUAGACAUCCGGCAUCACUUUUUGAGAGACCACCAGCAAAAGGGAGAUAUCGAAGUGUUUCAUGUUAGCACCGAGAACCAGCUAGCCGAUAUCUUCACUAAGCCUCUAGAUGAGAAGACCUUUUGCAGGUUGCGUAGUGAGCUAAAUGUCUUAGAUUCGCGGAACCUGGAUUGAAUUGUAGCAUACAUGUAUUUAUGCUUUUGAUCAUGUUCCUUUUUGCAUUUUGUUGCUUAUUAUGGUGCUCAAGUUGUACAAACACUCCCUGGACCUCACAAGUCCGUUGCAAAGUGAUGCACAUGUUUAGGGGGAGAUGUGUUACAACUUGACCCUUUGAGACUAACCAUGUGCUUGAGUUUGAUGAUUUAGUCUCGAAGGAGGAUUGAAAGGGAAAAGGUGGACUUGGACCAUGAAAGACUUCCACUGCACUCCGAUGAGAGGGUAACUUAUUCCAAGUUCAUCUUUAGACUCUUAUUGCCUUUGUGUUCUCAUUUGAAGAUUUUGGUAAGGCAAUAGGGUUAAAAGGGCCAAGAUUGAUCCCGUUUUGGUGCUUGAUGCCAAAGGGGGAGAAAAUAAAGGCCAAAGCGAUAAAUGGAUCAGCUACCACUUGAGAGAUUUUGAAAAUAGUAGAAUAGAGUUUUUGUUUUGUUAAACUCUUUUAUUGUCUCUUAUUGUCUCUCUUGUCAAAAGUUGGCCUCUUGUGGGGAGAAGUGUUGAUUAUGGGAAAUAGGGGGAGGUUUUGAAAUCUUUGAUCAAUCUCUUUUGGAAUGACUCUCUUUAUGCUUCAACAAGUGGAUUUGACUUAGAGAUAGAAUUUUGAGUUUGAUUUGCAAAAACAAACCAAGUGGUGGCAAAGGAUGAUCCAUAUAUGCCAAAUUGAAUCAAAAUAAAUUUAAGUUUUUAUUUGAAGUGAUAUUGCACUUGUUCUAGUUGCUUUAUGUUGUGUUGGCAUAAAUCACCAAAAAGGGGGAGAUUGAAAGGGAAAUGUGCCCUUGGGCCAUUUCUAAGUAUUUUGGUGAUUGAGUGUCAACACAAGUGCUUAAAUGUGAAUCUAUGCCCAUGGAUGAACAAAGUGCAAAUCUAGAGCAAAGGUAUGUUUCUAAGUCUUAGUACAUUGGUUUUGUGUACUAAUAUACUUGUCUAAGUAUCAGAAACAGGAAGAAGAAGAAAAGAGGAGAGUUGGCUGUGUACAGCCAAAAGGCUGUUUCGGUCUGGGGCACCGGACUGUCCGGUGGUGCACCGGACAGUGUCCGGUGCGCCAGGCUGCCUCGGGCUAACUGGCCGCUCUCGGGAGUUGACUGGCGACGUACGGCUAAAAUUCACCGGACUGUCCGGUGUGCACCGGACUGUCCGGUGAGCCAACGGUCGGCCAGGCCAACGGACGGCCGCGCGAUCUGCGCGGGACACGUGGCCGAGCCAACGGUCGGAAGGGGGCACCGGACUGUCCGGUGUGCACCGGACAUGUCCGGUGCGCCAACGGCUCCCAGAUCUCCAACGGUCGACUGCGCUGUUUAAGGAAGGAAAUCGGGCACCGGACAGUGUCCGGUGUGCACCGGACUGUCCGGUGCGCCCGACGACAGAAGGCAAGGAUGGCCUUCUGGAUUUGUUCUCAACGGCUCCUAGCUGCCUUGGGGCUAUAAAAGGGACCCCUAGGCGCAUGGAGGAGUACACCAAGCAUUCCUACAACAUUCCUAAGCACCAAGACAUCGAUCUCACGCAUUCGUUUCAUUGUGAUAGCAUCUAGAGCUCUUGUUGAGUUGCGAACUCUUUGAGUUGUGUUGCGAGCUCUUGUUGCGACUUGUGUGCGUGUUGUUGCUCUGAUCUUUUGAAGUCUUGUGUGCGUUGCUCAUUCCCCCUUUGCUCUGUGUUCUUUGUGAACUUCAAUUGUAAGGGCGAGAGGCUCCAAAUUGUGGAGAUUCCUCGCAAACGGGAUUGAGAAAAAGCAAGCAAAACACCGUGGUAUUCAAGUGGGUCUUUGGACCGCUUGAGAGGGGUUGCUUGCAACCCUCGUCCGUUGGGACGCCACAACGUGGAGUAGGCAAGUGUUGGUCUUGGCCGAACCACGGGAUAAACCACUGUGUCAUCUCUGUGAUUGAUCUCUUGUGGUAUUGUGUUUUGUUGAGACUCCUUUCUAGCCACUUGGCAUUUAUUGUGCUAACACUUAACAAGUUUUUGUGGCUAUAAGCUUAAGUUUUACAGGAUCACCUAUUCACCCCCCCCCCUCUAGGAGCUCUCAAAAAGGUACCCUUCUUUGUCAUGUUUUUCCAUAACAACAAUCCAAGUUUUAUGCCUUUUCAUUUGCUAACCAAACAAAAUAGAAUUUGUCGUUUGUGUUUCACUAGAUAACAAUAUCCAUAUACAAUGUAUGCUAUUGUGCACAGCCUUAUAUAUGUAUGCAUGUUCAUUCCUUCGGGGAUAGUUUGUGUGUAUAUAACAAUCCAACUUCAAAUAUUGAAUAACUAGCAAUCAUAUUUUACCAAACUCUAUUUUUUUGUUCCAUAAACCAAGUAUUGAAUCUAUUCAGUUGUUCUAUCUUUGGUACAUAUAUAGUCUACAGUAUAUACAAAUAUCUGUGUUUUACACGCACGCGGAGCGCACAUCAGUUACUAGUUCAUAAUUGUUUAUCAGUAUAUGCAAUAUUCUCAGUUUGAUUCCAUAGGAGACGAAAAGGGCAAAUGGGCCACAUCCACAAGGAAAACGUUGGUGCUCUUUUAGACCGAUCAUCUAACGAACCCUGGACCUCACCUGCUAGGAGCGAGGGCUUGAGAUCCUCUCUGCGGAAGUGUGGGCCGUCUGCGAUAGGCAAUCAGACCGUCCAUGAUAGGACAGCGAACUGUCCGCAUGUGCACAUUGGGCUUCGAGAUCUCCUUCAUCACCUGAAUCUCGCCUUCUGGGAGAGACCCCGUCAGGAAGAAAAGAUCCUAGUGUUGUCUUAGUAUCGGCGGGCCAUUCAAGACACAUCUAAAUGAUGUAGAGUCGAGAAGAGGUUAAGAUUGGGGAUGUGAAAGACUAAUUAUCGUUACCCCUAAAGAAAAAAUGUAAAGGAACCGGUAAACAAAUUGAUUGGAUCGAUUAUGUUACCCUUAAUCGAUCGUACCUCUAUAUUUAUAGAAAAGGUCUGAACCUGUUUCUAGACGUUUUCCAACAGAUUUCUGUGUGAUUAGCCAGAUAAGCACACGCAGAAAAAAAACUUUCGUGGGAAAAAAAAUCUUUCGCCUAAGUUAAUCUAAUCACAAAUCGUUAGUCUAUACUCUCGUACCAUCUAGGACACACUAGACCGUUGGGCGGUGCCCAAAUAUCAAACCUGUUGCUCAACGGACGGCAGAGUAUGCCAGCCUACUGUGCAGAGCCGACGAGGCAAAGGGCGAUCAAUGUGUAUUAUCUAUAUUGUUACCAUCACGUCUUGUGUGAAACUCUGUAAAAACAAUACUAGAAUCAAUGUGUAUCAUCUAUAUUGUUAUUUUGUAGAGAUUGACAUUUUAUAUUGUUGAGAUGCAACACAAUAUGGAUCUUAAUCUCGGCAAUAUUGUCGUGGAUCAUUUGCACUUGCAGAAUGAUGGUGUAAAAAAUAAAUUUUCUUAAUCACGAUGAAGCGUUAAAAAAAGCUUAUCCAAUCUGUUAACUAUAAUGCAUGCAUCUAUACACACUAGGCGGCAGGAGCCAUGGCAGCUAAAGGUAAAAAUCCAAGCAAUUAUUAGUCUAACUCAACCCCAUCAACUACCUAUUUGGCUGCACUCUACAAUAUCGUCGAUUUACUGCACAGGACUAGGCCGCCAGAGUCGAUCCUUUGUUUCUGCAUCCACGUCUCCAAGAGGAGAUCCUCACUCUGCCUUAAAUGCAAAUAGUCGUCGAUGUGAAACGACAAGGUUCGAGCAUAGUCAGACAAGCUGCUUCGGCAAAUCCCAACCUCACCAAAUCUGGUCAGUAAACUAUUUUUAGAGGCAACUGAUGAAGUGGCAUGGUCUCCAGGGCUCCAACUCCCACGGCUGCUCGCAGUCUGAUUGCUAGUGCUGCCUCUGGUACUUUCUCCCUGAGUUCAACAUGCAAUUAGAGAAAAGGUAACAUGUUGAAGUCAUUAACAACAACAAAAAAAUCACCUCAUCAUUUGACUCAGCAUCCCUACCCUACAAAUAUUACCUCUAUCUGCAAACGAAUGCAAUUCUAGGUGUAUUCUUGGUUAACUUGUCUAAAGCUUGACCAAAUAUAUAAGAAAAAUAUUAAUGUUUAUAACAUAAAUAAGUAUAGUAUGGAAACAUAUCUCAUGGAAAAAUCUAGUGACACUCACUUCGUCCCAAAUUAUAAGUCAUUUCAACUUUUUAAAGAGCCAGAGCAUCUCAAGUUUAACCAAAGUUAUAUAAUAAAAUUAUAAUAUUCAUGGUACCAAUUAAGUAUUGUUAGAUUCUUUAUUAAUUGUAUUAUCAUAGUAAUACCAGCUUUAUUUCAUAAGGUUGUUAACUCUCUCUAUAAUUUUGGUCAAACUUGAGAUGCUUAGGCUCUCCAAAAAGGUUAGAAUGACUUAUAAUUUGGAACAAAGGUAUACUUAUUUGAUAUUAUAGAUAUUAUAAUUUUUAUCUAUAGUUAGUCAAACUCAAGAUACUUUACCUUGGCAUUGUACUAGAAUUAUAUUCUUUGGACAGAAGGAGUAACAUUCAAUAUUUUACAUUUUAAGACAAGAAUUGAUACUAUUUCUGCAGAUAAACAGAUGUCAUCGUUACCUGGGCCUUGGUUUUGCACGGGGAGGUCUGAAAGUCAUUGGUAGUUUCCCAUUGCAGCCAGGGAAGGACAACGCCAUCUGCCUCUGCAGGUAAAGCAACUUCUGGGAGCUUAACUGGAGUUUCUGUCAUAGCAUGAAGUAACAACAGGUCUUUCCUGGUUGAACUUGAGUCACUUUUCUCUCCAUCAAAAGAAGAAAAGUCAGUGUCUUCAACAUUCGACAGGAAAUCUUCAAAGUAUUGUUCAGCCUCUUCAGUAAGUCGUUUUGACAUCCUUGAUCUAUCAUUGCUCCUCUGCAAUAAAUUCAUGUCAAAUUCUAAUUCAUAGAUGCACAUAAUUAACUGGAAAGUGGAAGCGAUGGAACGGCAACUAAAUAAACUUACUCUUCUGUAGUGUGGCUGUCUUUGUAAGUUUGCAGUCUUUUUAGGAGUAGGUAGCAAUUCUCUAACUAUUUUUGUGAGCUCAUGACCAUGGUGUUCUUCUGCUGCCAAUUGAGCUAACAGUUCCUGCUUCCGCUUCUCUGACUAAGAUACACAGAAAAGUAAAUGUGAGUAUUGAAUAAAGACUUAGAAACAAAACAAUCAAAGAUGUUUUUUACAAUAAGUAUAGCUUCUCUUCCCAAAAAAAGAUACCUCUUCCAAUUUACUAGUGUAGCUCCUUCGGAGCUGAGUAAUAACUUGGGUUGGUUGUGCAUCACUGUUUAUUGCCUUUUCUGAAGGUUCAGAUUUUGUCAUGGCCUAGAAAUGCACAGAUAAAGAGAUACAUGAGCUUGGAUAAAACAAUGUGAUUCUAGAAAGAAGUAUGCAUAGCAAGAAAAGGCCCAAAUAUUGAUCGUUUCCCCCCUAACAGGCAAACAAUGGCCUGACAAUGAAGUCUCAAUGGAAGACAUGUCAAUCCAAUAAAACACAUUUUUAAAUCUAGCUACAACUGUUUUAGUCAGAAAAUCUUCCAAUCAAACAGAUGUUUCUGCUGCCAGUAUGCCAUCAAGUUACUAUAGUUCUACUCAGCCUGACUGUUACUUAUCCAGAAACGAAUGUUAGUCCUCAUUGAACAGAAGUAUCCUGCACAUCCUUCAAUGAUGAUGUGAAGUUAUAGGCUUAGGAUCCAAAAGCAUGGAGACCAUUAAGUAUUGUUCGCAAGCAUACAAUGCAGAAGCAUAUAUCAGUGCUAACUUUGACAAAUUCAGCAUAAAACAAGAAUCACAAGUGAUGUACAAACUCUUCUGGGGUGUAUAUCCUCUACAACAGAACCGGAUCAUUAGCUUAUAUUCGCAUUACAUCAUACAAUACAUUUCCAUCUGUAAAAGAUACCUCUUCAAGCUGAUUCCUUAUUUCCUCAACAGCUUGCCUAACUUCUUUUCGCAUUACAUCGUACAAUACAUUUCCAGCCCCAUCAUCAAUUCCGUGCUCCUAUCAGAUUGCAAUAUAAGUGGCAAUUACCAGUAAACUCUAGUAGCUGUUUGCAAAUUCUAGUUUCAAAUUUAAAUACUAAAUGAAGAUUGUGAAAUCACCUUGUCAAGACCAUAAACUGCACAGACAGCCUUCUGAUUUCUGCUAUGGAAAGAGAGUGAACUCCUAGACUCAUCAUCAGUAAUUGAAGAAUGGCUCUGCAUAAUUAAAGGUAAAAAUACAAACUAAGAAAUUUCAUUCAUAAAACACAAUGAUUAGGUGAAUCUACAACAGUCCAUCGCACAGCCAAGAUUUAGUAUGCACCAAACAAAAGAUAGCACAGACCUAAUUCUAUUAUGCAUCUAUGAAUGGAACAUUAAAGUUAAUUGUACAAGCUGGUGCGAUGAUACUAUAGCACAACUUUUUUUAUAAGGAUGAUGCUAUUUGAUAUGUUAUCCAAUUUCAGUCCAAGGAAUAUAAAGAAGACAAAGGUACUCACGGAGCUGCUGUCUCUAGAAUGAAAGAAAUCCUUUUGACUUGUAGACCUCUUCAAAGCUUGAUUUGCUUUAGAUGGCUUAUGGAAUGAACUCUGCAGGCUAUUGCCACUGCUACUUUUGGUAUGCAUCCCCCUAGAAACAUACUGGUGAGGAACUUCCAUAUCAUUCUGCACCCAAAAAGAAUAAACCAGGGAUUAAAUAAAAAAAUGUAACUGCAACAGAUAUGUACAAUUUACAUCAAACACAGAAAUUGGACAAGUUUAGAAUAUAAGCAUUAUCUGGCAUUCGAAAGGAACAAACAUAAAAUACUUGAACAGGAAUGAUAUAGUGGAAGCACAGCAAAGUAUUAAUAAACUUGGAUUGAGUAACCUAACUUAUUGAAAAAGAAAACUAUAACGUGAGCAGGCUGAAGCAAAUCUGAAAAGCAGACUGGCAAGUAUAACUGCAUCACAAUCACACAGUUUUGCCUUUUGGCUUUUGAACUUGUGAAAUUAUUUUCGUACUAUAUUGCCAGACAGCAUCAGCAUAUUGAAGCUAGCAACAAACAGAGGGUACAAGGGGAUAUAGGCAUAAACAAAAACAACUGAAGAAACAAUAGAUGAUGCAAACACAGUAUUGCGCAUAUGUUACAUUACUGGAUACUAUACUGGUAUGAUGGUAUUAAGUUUGAAACACACUAUAAGCAAAGUAUAGAACUAAACCAAACUACAUUCGUGACCACACCACUCGUCAUAUGACCAUACCUUGAAGAAACAAACAGUAAAACAUAUCGGACCUCUAGUCGUACAUAAGAGAAGAAUCAAGAAUGUGUGGAUAAACACCGUUCUCCCUUCACAAUUUUGUCGCAAAAUGGAAACAAAAACUUCGCAGAUUAAUGGGACCACCCAAGCGCCCACAAAACAGGAUUCUAUAAUUAACAAGCAACUUUAAUAGUUUAAUCCAAAAUUCAGCCCAUCUCUAAACUAAAUGCACAGAAGAAAAACUAGAGUGCUGGACCGGCCACACUCACAUCCGAAUCGCACCACCGUUGUCGAUCCAUGGCAGCGCGCCGGUCGACCGACGCAUAACGCUGCCUCCUGGCUGCAGGGCCGCCAUCCACCGCAUUGGCCGCUACGCCUCGCCGCUCGGCUGGCGGCCGCGACACGGAGCGCCCGCGCUGCCGCGAAGACUCCGUCUGCCUAGCGUACCGCGCGGUGGAGCUCCGCCGACCGCCAGCGCCACCGCCCCCACGCUCUGCGGCCGCUGGAAGCCUUGACCGGCCGCGCGCAGCAGUCUCCUCGUCGUCGUCGUCCUCGGACUCGGCCCUGGCCCGGAAGAACUCGUCGGCGAGGUCGUCGAGGCUGACCUGCGGCGGGAAGACGCCGCCGCUUCCCCCGCCCCGCACCUUGUUGACGAACCUCGACGACGGCGUCGCCGUGUCCUCGGUGGAGGGCGACGGCGGCGGGAACCGGCUCAGGCUCUUCGACCGGCGGACGCUGCCUCCGCCGCGGCCCGCGGCCUGGCGCUCGCGAGUGGCGGAGCCCGCGUCCUCUACGGGCGCGAGAGCGUCGCCCCGCCUCGUCCCCGACCGGAACGCCGUAGCAGCAGCCAUCGCCGCCAGUGGCCGGAGCUAGGGUUCGGAGCUGCUAGGUGUUGGCCGCCGCCUCGCUCCCCUCCUUGUGACUUGUGAGCAGAGAGACGAGUAUUAUCAGAUAAUAAUAGAGACGGAAUUGGCAAUAGCAGUAGCUUCGAGUGCACCGAGCAGAAUUGAGACGCUUUUUGUUUCCAACUUUCCAUAUAUGCUGCAGUCUGUCAAACCCGAUGAAACAUGUGCACCGUGGAGGCGUGGACAAUACCUGGACCCAUAUUUCAUUGGUGCUGGCUGCUGGGCGGUGGGAGUAAUGAAUGCCUGGGUUUGCAGGUGCUGGUGAGUGAAUUUGAAUUUCAAACUUGCGGCCGUGUUUCAAGGGGAAUUUACGAGGCUCUACAACAGCAGGCAGGCAGUUGGCACACGGGAUCCUGGUAGUUGGUUGGGUGUCGUUGCACCGUGGCAGCGUGACGGACCACUGCCUGCAGCCUGCGUUGUUCUCUCCUCUCGCGGUCUCGCCGCUCGGCUCGACCGUGACCACCGAACACGGGACAAGUGAGACAAACAAACCAAAGCGGGCGGGCGUGCAUCGUGCGCUCCGCCGGCGCCGCUUGAACAGCUGCGGACUGCGGUGCUUCGACGCGGCCCAGGACGGGGAGGAGGGCUGGUCUAUUAGGCUAAUUUGGUUCGAUGUAUUUGGAUUUUUAAAAUUUCAGGUUCUGAAAAAUAAGAACCAAAAUUUUUUAAAAUAGUUUUAAGAACUGAACCUGAAUAUACCCAUAAUUUCGGUUCGUUCUAUUCGGUCCCCCGAAUGGACCCGAAUAGUAGAGAGACUAGUAUAUUUUGUUAAAAUAUAUACAAUAAAUAAUUAAUUGAAAGUACUAUUAUUAGAACAAGUGUCUAUAAAAAAUAGCAUACAGAGAUAUAUAUUAUCGUUAAGAUGAUAUCAUAAUUUUUAGUUAAUAAGUUCAUAAAUCAUAUAAUAAUAUCAUCACAUAUUAAGAGUUUUUUUUAAGUUCGAGUUAUUGGGUCUAUUCAGGUUUUAAAGGUUAGGAACCGAACUCGAACUUAUACCCCAAAAUAUAGCACAUAUAUGAACCGAACCUGAACCCGAAAACCCGGUUCGGGUUUAGGUUCAGGUUCAGAUUUCGGUUUUAAAAUACCCACCCGUAAUUGAGAGCCUAUGGGUUUUGGUUUCCGCGACACGGAUGGGCAAGCUGGCAGGAGUAUGCCGGAAAAAAACGAGCGGGAAAUUUUGAAACUUCUCUGGUGUAGUGCAGUGCUCUGCGCAAGGAUUGGAUCGUUUGUAACUGAGAACAUGUUUUAAGGGCUAAAACGGGUAUAGCGUCGGGUAUCGGAUAUAAUAAUCCAUUUUUCGGAUGCCGAUUUAGAUAUUUUUAUACUCAAGACAAAUAUAGUUACUACUUGGAUAGCGCACCUUCAUAUUCAGAUUGAAUAUCUGGUAUCCGUUUUUUCUUUUUCUAUGUAAUAUUGUUAUUAAUUCAUAAUUUUUGCAUAUGAACUCGGAUGAAUGUAAAGUUUAUAAGAAAAUUAUAGGGCUCAAAAAGAUCUACAACUUUAUAGCACAUCAUAUUUUUGUUUGAACACAUCUGCAUGUUGAAAUUAUUGAAACAGUGUCAAAAUUAUUGAAAUAGUGUCUAAAUUUAUACCAGACUAUUGUAAUUUGCUUAUUUUUUUAGAAAAAAUAAGGUAUUGGCGCCUCUAAUAACUUGCUCAGUAUAUUAUAUUUAUAUGUUUUUAUAUAUAUGCAUGAUAAUUAUGAUGGUAACAUAUGUAAACUAUCUUGUGAUGUAUUAGACUAUUGUGUGAUUCAAACCUUAUUAUUAUAUUCGAACUAUUGUGUUGGAUUAUCUUGUGUUGGAUUAGACUAUCUUAUGUCAUUUUAAAAUUAUCUUCUAUUGUAUUAGACUAUUAUGUGGUUCGAAUCUUGUUAUCAAAUUUGAAAUAUUGUGUUGGAGUAUUAUAUGAUCAAAAUUUAUUGUUAUAUUGUUAUGUUGAUCUAUAUUUUAUGCAACGCUCGUGUAUAAUUGUUUUUCACAAACUAAAUUAGAGUAAAUGAUAAGUGAUUCAUGCAUUAUCCGACAAGUAUUCGAUAUUCGAUCAAACAAUAUAUGUAUUUGUCACUUAUCUGCUCGAAUAAAUAUAUGGUCUCUGUAUUUGUAUUCGUAUUGUUUUUAACUAUUCGUAUCCGAAUCCGAUUAAAAUAUAAUAGGAUAGAAUAUGUCGGGGACUGUAAUUAGGGGUACCCCCAAUGCUCCUUAAUCCGGCUGGAAAACAUCUUCAGAACAAACCAUAAGCGACUAAUAAAGUGCAGGCCUCGUCUACCAAGGUGUAAGUGCAAUCAACCCUAAUUGAGGGUUUUGGUGAUUAAUGACAAAACAAACUAAGAUUCUAACAAGUUUGCUCCUAGUGUGUACACAGUAUUUUUACAGACAGGAGAAGCACAGAUCCUACGAGCAUAAAAGUAUAAAGCACAGCGGAUUUAAAUUUCCACAUCAAAUGGCGUGCUCCAAGUGCUAUGAAACGUCGGCGGUACUAAGUUUAAAAUUCUUGAAUCAUAGGAAUCGCCGUACAAUUAAGAGGGAUCCGCGACGGUUAAGUAAGUUGUGAAACGAGCCAAGUUCAAUUCUUUUGAAAACUCCUUUGAGAUCAUCUUUUCCAGAUCAUGAAUGCUCUUGAGAAAAACAAAUUUCACUUCCCACAAAGUCUCCACCUAAGUUCUCUUCAAAAUUCUCAAAGUUUGGUUUCAGCCCCCAAAACCGGUUCAACCGGUCCAGAAACCGGUUCAACCGGUUUUGGUACUGUUCAUCCUGCCACCUCUGCUCUGACCUGUCUGACAGUCAGAGCUGUCAGAAAAGUCGCAGCAGAUAUUUUUCUGAAACCGGUUGAGCCGAAAUUUGACCCUACUCAGCCGGUUUUGAAACCGGUCCAGUGUCCGGCUGAGUAGACCAGUGGACCGGGAUCCCCCUGGUAGAAACCGGUUCAACCGGUUUGAAAACCGGUUCAACCGGUUUUUUGCCCUUUUCCUCCCAACGGCUGCCAGCUUUUGGGGGAUCCUUUAUAUACCCCCUCACACUCUCUCUCUCAUCAACUUCUGUCUCUCCCAUGAAUCUUUGGCUGACCAACCCUCAAACAAGAGCAUUCACUUCACCUCUCACACCCGCAAUCGCAUCUCCUUCAAUCAUUUGAAGGACCCUUGGUGUGAGGUGAACUCGAUCGAACUCGCUGUCAAUUUCAUCUCGAUUCUCCCAUUCUCUUGUUCUUGAGCUCGUUGCAAACUUAACCGUGUGCGGAUUUGUUACUCUUGGAACCUCGUGUUCCUUGACGGUUAGAGGUUGCUUGGGAGUCUCCAAAUUUGUGGACAACCCCAAGAAGUUUGUAUCACCCGCUCCUUGAGCAGAUUUGAGAAGAGAUUGCCUUGACCUUUGUGGUCGGCUUGUGGAGGAUUAGGGUUGGAAAAGACCCGGCCCUUUGUGGGUUCCUCAACGAGGAGUAGGACACCUUUGUGGUGGUUGCCGAACCUCGGGUUAUAUCGCGUGUUCUUGUGUGUUCUUGUUAAGCUUUUCAUAUUCGGUGGUUGGUUCAUAUUAUUCAUUCAAGUAGUUCUUGUGUAGGGCAAAUCUUUAGCUAUUUUCUUUACUACUUCGAAUUUGUUCAAUAGAUUAUUAAAUUCAAGUUGAGUGGGUUCAAACUUGUUCAGUUGUGAUUAAAAUCGACUGAACCGGUUUGCACCUGUGCAACUUUAAUUUAACCUAUUUCGGAGUUUUUAGUGAAAAUUUUCAGGUAUAGCCUAUUCACCCCCCCUCUAGGCUACUUUCAAUUGGUAUCAAAGCUUCGUGCCUCGUUUUACGCUUAACCGCGUGAGGAAACGAUCAUGUCUACACAACGGGACCAUGUGGAUCCUCUUCUCGAGGAAAUCCCCGUCACAUCUACCGGUGAGGAAGUGGACCCCAAGGUCCUCGACCUCGCCAUGAAGAUUGCCGAGAAAAUGUUCCUCAAAAUGAAAGAGGAAGAUGCUAGGAAAAAGGCCGAAGAAGAGGAAACAAGAAGAAAGGCCGAAGAAGGUAAAGGUAAGGGAACAUUUGAUUAUAAUGACGAUCUAGUGGAUCUUUUGGUGUCUAAGGUAUUGAGCAAGGUAAGUCUCAACACCGAAGGAUCAUCUACCAAAAGCAAAGGUAAUGACUUUAGCAAAGUUCAAUUCGAUUACUCUAGAAAUUAUAUUCCCAACUUCUCUUCCGCCCCACUUGGAAAGUUACCAACUCUUAGUGAGUUGAACUAUGAUGAGUGGGCCGACAAGAUGAAGUCGCAUUUAAUCGGUGUGCAUCCUAGUCUUUGGGAGAUUGUUAAUGUAGGUAUGUAUAAGCCCGCCCAAGGAGAAGAGAUGACUCCGGAAAUGAUGCAAGAGGUUCAUCGAAAUGCUCAAGCAGUGAGCAUAAUCAAAGGUAGUCUUUGUCCGGAAGAAUACCGGAAAGUUCAAGGAAGAGAAGAUGCUCGUGACAUUUGGAACAUUCUUAGAAUGUCACAUGAAGGAGAUCCCAAAGCUAAAAGACAUAGAGUUGAAGCUUUGGAAAGUGAGCUUGCAAGGUAUGAUUGGACAAAGGGUGAGUCGCUCCAAUCACUCUUUGAUCGAUUGAUGGUAUUGGUCAACAAAAUAAGAGUACUUGGGAGUGAAGAUUGGAGUGACUCCAAGGUCACAAGAUUGUUCAUGAGAGCUUAUAAAGAGAAAGAUAAAAGUCUUGCAAGGAUGAUAAGGGAUCGUGAUGAUUAUGAGGACAUGACGCCUCAUCAACUAUUUGCAAAAAUUCAACAACACGAGUCCGAGGAAGCCCCCAUCAAGACAAGAGACUCUCAUGCCUUGAUCACAAAUGAACAAGACAAUCUCAAGAAGAGCAAAGACCACAAAGCAAAGAAAGUGGUCGAGACCUCAAGUGAUGAAGAUAGCUCAAGUGAUGAAGACACAGCUAUGUUCAUCAAAACUUUCAAGAAAUUUGUAAGGAAGAAUGACAAGUUCCAAAGGAAAGGAAAGAAGAGGGCAUGCUAUGAAUGUGGCCAAACCGGUCAUUUCAUAGCGGAUUGUCCUAACAAGAAGGAACAAGAAGCCAAGAAGGAAUACAAGAAGGAUAAGUUUAAAAAGGGAGGCAAGACCAAGGGAUACUUCAAGAAGAAGAAGUAUGGACAAGCUCAUAUUGGUGAAGAAUGGAACUCCGAUGAUGAGAGUUCUAGCUCCGAGGAAGAGGAAGUGGUGGCAAAUGUGGCCAUCCAAUCUACCUCAAGCGCGCAACUCUUCACCAACCUUCAAGACGACUCCUACAUUCCAACUUGCCUCAUGGCAAAAGGAGAUAAGGUAACUUUGUUUAGUAAUGAUUUUUCAAAUGAUGAUGAUGAUGAUCAAAUUGCCAUGAAAAAUAAAAUGAUUAAAGAAUUUGGCUUAAAUGGAUACAAUGUUAUCACAAAAUUAAUGGAAAAGCUAGAUAAAAGAAAGGCAACUCUUGAUGCUCAAGAAGACUUGCUUAUCCUUGAAAAGGAAAGAAACCUAGAGCUUCAAGAGUUGGUUCACAAUAAAGAUAUAGAAGUAAUUAACUUGAAAACCUCUAUUGAUAACCUUGCAAAUGAAAGGAAUGCACUUGAAUCAAGCAUGUUAAGCUUGAAUGUUCAAAAUCAAGAACUUCAAGUGCAACUUGAAAAUUGCAAGAACAUCAAUGCCCCCACUUUAGUAUUUGAAUCUAAGUCUAGCUCUAAUGAUAAUUCCUGCAAGCAUUGUGUCAAAUAUCAUGCUUCUUGUUGUCUAACUAACCAUGCAAGGAAGCAUAGCCCACAGGUGAAGGUCAAAGAAAUUUUGAAAAAAUGCACUAGCAAUGAUGGGUUAAAGAAAGUUGAACCCAAGUACAAGUCCCUUAAGCACAACAAUGGUAAAAGGGGGCUUGGGUUCAACUCAUCCAAGGAAAACCCUAGCACAGUGCAUAAGGGGUGGAGAUCCCCCAAGUUCAUAGAGGGAACCACUCUAUAUGAUGCCUUGGGGAGGAUCCACUCCUCAAAUGACAAGUCAUCUCAGGUAAAGGGUAACUUGAGUUCCACAAAGAGUAAGAUGAAGGAAGUGGGAUCCUUAAGUGGACAAAAAUCUAAUGCUCCCAUUUCCCACUCAUAUCUUUGUGAUUAUAUGUUGACUUGGGAUUCAGGGAAAUUGGUUGUGAAAUAUGUGGGUGCCUACACUAAACAAAAAGUCAUGAAAAGAAGUGUGUGGGUACCCAAGGCUAUAACUAACACUGUAGGACCCAAUUCAAUUUGGGUACCUAAAAGUAUAGCCUAAACUUGUUUUGCAGGUCUACUCCUCUGGUGGGUCAAGUUGGGUGCUUGACAGUGGAUGUACAAAUCACAUGACCGGGGAGAAAGACAUGUUUCAUACAUUGCAACUAACUCAAGAAGCACAAGAAAUUGUGUUUGGAGAUAGUGGCAAGAGUAAGGUGAUUGGUAUUGGUAAAAUUCCUAUCUCUGACCAACAAUCACUUUCAAAUGUUUUAUUAGUAGAUUCCUUGAGCUAUAAUUUGUUGUCUGUUUCACAACUUUGUGGAAUGGGUUAUAAUUGCUUAUUUUCGGAUGUGGAUGUGAAGAUCCUUAGAAGGGAGGACUCCUCAGUUGCCUUUACCGGUCGCUUGAAGGGCAAACUUUAUCUUGUUGAUUUCACAACAAGUAAAGUGACGCCUGAGACUUGUUUAGUGGCAAAAUCCGACAAGGGUUGGCUAUGGCAUCGCCGACUAGCUCAUGUCGGUAUGAGGAAUUUGGCCAAACUUCAAAAGGAUAAUCACAUCAUUGGACUAACAAAUGUUGUAUUUGAGAAAGAUAGGGUUUGUGGCGCAUGCCAAGCAGGAAAGCAACAUGGAGUCCCACAUCAAUCAAAGAAUGUGGUCACAACAAAGAGGCCAUUGGAGCUUCUUCACAUGGACCUCUUCGGACCUGUGGCCUACAUUAGCAUUGGUGGUAGUAAGUAUGGUUUAGUUAUUGUUGAUGAUUUUUCUCGAUUCACUUGGGUUUUCUUUUUGAGUGACAAAGGUGAAACUCAAGAAAUCUUAAAGAAAUUCAUGAGGAGAGCUCAAAAUGAAUUUGAGCUCAAAAUCAAGAAAGUGAGAAGCGAUAAUGGGACGGAAUUCAAGAACACAGGUGUCGAAGAAUUCUUAGGAGAAGAGGGAAUCAAGCAUGAGUUCUCGGUGCCUUACACUCCACAACAAAAUGGUGUUGUGGAAAGAAAGAACCGGACUCUAAUUGAAGCUGCAAGAACCAUGUUGGAUGAAUACAAGACACCUGACAACUUCUGGGCAGAGGCGGUCAACACCGCCUGUCAUGCAAUCAACCGCCUCUAUCUUCAUAAGAUCUACAAAAAGACUGCCUAUGAGCUUCUCACUGGUAACAAACCUAAAGUUGAUUAUUUUAGAGUAUUCGGUUGUAAAUGUUUUAUUCUUAACAAGAAAGUCAAGAGCUCAAAGUUUGCUCCUAGAGUGGACGAGGGUUUCUUGCUUGGUUAUGCAUCAAAUGCGCAUGGAUAUCGUGUUUUCAACAAUUCCACCGGUCUUGUUGAAAUAGCGAUAGACGUGACAUUUGAUGAGUCUAAUGGCUCGCAAGGGCAUGUUUCUAAUGACACUGCAGGAAAUGAAAAACUACCUUGUGAGGCCAUAAAGAAACUUGCCAUAGGUGAGGUGAGACCUCAAGAAAGGGAUGAUGAAGAAGGAACCUUGUGGAUGACCAAUGAGGUAGUUGAUGUGGGUGCAAGGGUGGUGAGUGACAAUGUCUCCACCCAAGCAAACCCAUCAACCUCAAGUCAUCCAAACCACGAAGAAAAUCAUCAAAGGAUGCCAACAGUGGUAGAAGAUGAACAAGAAAAUAUUGAUGGUGAAGUGCCUCUUGAUCAAGUAACUGAUGAGGAAGAGCAAAUACAAAGACAUCCAUCAGUGCCUCAUCCAAGAGUCCAUCAUUCAAUUCAAAGGGAUCAUCCGGUGGACAACAUCCUGGGUAGCAUCAGGAGAGGGGUAACGACUCGAUCACGUUUAGCUAAUUUUUGUGAAUUUUACUCGUUUGUUUCCUCUCUUGAGCCACUUAAGGUUGAAGAAGCAUUGGGUGAUCCGGAUUGGAUAACUGCGAUGCAAGAGGAGUUGAACAACUUCACUAGGAAUGAAGUCUGGUCCUUAGUCCAAAGACCCAAACAAAAUGUGAUUGGGACUAAAUGGGUCUUUAGGAACAAGCAAGAUGAAAAUGGCGUUGUUACAAGAAACAAGGCAAGGUUGGUUGCCCAAGGCUAUACUCAAGUGGAAGGACUUGACUUUGGUGAAACAUAUGCGCCGGUAGCAAGGUUAGAAUCAAUUAGAAUAUUAAUUGCCUAUGCUACUAACCAUGAUUUCAAGCUAUAUCAAAUGGAUGUCAAGAGCGCUUUUCUAAAUGGACCACUACAAGAAAGAGUAUAUGUGGAGCAACCACCGGGCUUCGAAGACCCAAAGAAGCCAAAUCAUGUUUAUCUUCUUCACAAGGCACUCUACGGGCUUAAACAAGCCCCUAGAGCUUGGUAUGAUUGUCUUAAAGAUUUUCUAAUUAAAAAUGGGUUUACAAUAGGAAAAGCUGACUCUACUUUGUUUACUCGAAAAGUUGAUAAUGAAUUAUUUGUGUGCCAAAUAUAUGUUGAUGACAUUAUAUUUGGUAGUACUAAUGAAAAAUUUUGUGAAGAGUUUAGCAAAGUAAUGACGAACAGGUUUGAGAUGUCUAUGAUGGGCGAGCUUAAAUACUUCCUGGGAUUUCAAGUCAAACAACUCAAGGAAGGUACCUUUCUAUGCCAAACUAAAUAUACUCAAGAUAUGCUCAAGAAGUUUGGCAUGGAAAAAGCAAAGCACGCCAAGACUCCAAUGUCAUCAAAUGGACAUCUCGACCUAAAUGAGGAAGGUAAACCUGUAGAUCAAAAAUUAUAUAGAUCAAUGAUAGGAUCACUGCUUUACUUAUGUGCAUCUAGGCCUGAUAUAAUGUUGAGUGUUUGUAUGUGUGCACGUUUUCAAGCAAAUCCUAAAGACUGCCAUCUUGUAGCCGUUAAGAGAAUUCUAAGAUACUUAGUCCACACCCAAAACCUAGGAUUAUGGUAUCCUAAAGGCUCCUUUUUCGAUUUGCUUGGCUAUUCUGACUCAGAUUAUGCCGGUUGCAAAGUAGAUCGAAAAAGCACUACUGGGACUUGCCAAUUCCUUGGGCGGUCCUUAGUGUCAUGGAGUUCCAAGAAACAAAAUUGUGUUGCACUCUCCACUGCAGAAGCUGAAUACAUAGCAGCUGGGGCAUGUUGUGCACAGUUGCUAUGGAUGAAGCAAACCCUUAGAGAUUUUGGUUGUGAGUUUAACAAAAUUCCUCUUUUGUGUGACAAUGAGAGUGCCAUAAAACUUGCAAACAAUCCAGUGCAACACUCUAGAACUAAACAUAUUGACAUUAGACACCAUUUCUUGAGAGACCAUGAAGCCAAAGGAGAUAUCGAACUUUUUCAUGUGAGCACCGAAAAUCAACUAGCCGAUAUCUUCACUAAACCCCUUGAUGAGACUAGGUUUUGUUUUCUUAGGAGUGAGCUAAAUAUCUUGGAUUCUCGAAACGUGACUUAAUAACUAAAAUUUUGAUCAAAUUUGAUGAUUGAAAAUUGUUUGUUUGAGCAAUAUGAAUUGAGAAAUGUCAUUUUUAUCUUUAUAAUAUCUCAUGUCAUAUUUGCUAAGUGAUAUUACAGCCCUUCCGGGCAAUAUUUGAAAUCUGGUUGAGUAAACCGGCUGAGUAGACCACUCAACCGGUUUCUUCCUGGUGGAAACCGGUUGAACCGGUAUAAAAACCGGUUGAAUCGGUUUUGGCCGUCGCGCCGUCAGUCCGCGCACAGUCUGCGCUGACAGCUGCGCAGUCUGCGCUGUCAGUUUUGCAGUCUGUGCUGUCAGACUGCCAGGUUUUGCGCGCAGUCAACACUGUUUUCUGCGCGCUUUUACUGCGCCGUUUGACCCGAAACCGGUUGAACCGGUUUUGAAACUGGUUGAACCGGUUUUCGGCUUUCUGGCGGCCGACUCCUCUCCUUUUUAUACCUCUCUCUCUUCUCUUCCUUUCUCAGUCUCGUUUCUAGCCGCCGCCGCCACUUCUGUUUUUCCUCUCUCCUCUCCAAACUCUCUCGAGCUCUCUCCCGUUUGGAAGUGUGGUUGGAGAUCCGUUCUUCCCAGCGUGUUUCCACCAUCUUCCUCCUUCUCGUUGGGAGAUCUUGACCCCCAUCUUCGGAUCGAGGUAUUGUUCUAUGUUAUUUCCUUGUACUCGAUCAUACGCGUUCUUGAUUAUCUUAUGUAUCAUUCGUUGGGUACAUUUUGGUUUAAGUGAUUGCAACACUUAGACUAUCUUCAUUUUGUCACAAACACUGUUUGAGAUUAGCGAUUUGAUAUUGUUCAUUGUAGUUGAACCGCUCAUAUGAACGGUUGAAGUGCAUGAUUCAAUCUCUUAUGCGUUUCUUCUCAAGCGUGGUUGAUCCUUGCUCAUCAUAGGUUCUAUCUCUUAUUUCUUAGAAUGGUGCGACGAAGGAACCCGUCAGUGGUAGAAUCCGACUCUUCGGAUGAACUGGAGAUCCAUGGUGAUACCCCUCCUCGCUCUCGAUCCAAGCGAGGGCGCGGAUGUGGAAAUGUCAUGCCGGGUACUGAGGCCUCCGGGUCUCAAAGUGCUCGGGGUCGGACUUCCCGGACUCCCUCCGGUAGGUCUCGACCUGCCACGAAUCCGCAGGCGUGGGAGCCUGCAAGUGACGAUGACGGUGGGAAGGACGAUGAGGUUGAUCUUCCCCCGGCGUCGGCUCCUGUGAUUCGCGGCUUGGUGCUCCACCGGGCCGAGGCUCGGCGUGCUGGCAAUGAGCCAGUCACGGACUUCACGGCCAGUGGAGGGUCUGCACUUCUCCAGGAUCUGCGUUUCCAAAAUCCGGUAUUGCGUAUUCGCGAUGCCAGGAUCGAUGGAAAUCGUUUCUGGACUCUUCACCAUGUUGAUUUCUAUAAUUCAGUUAUUCUUCCCAAGAAGCAUCAGCCCAUCCUUCAUCAACGUUAUAUUAACUGGGAAGGUUGCGAAGCAAUUGGAGACCCAGAGAUGUCACAGGCACUGAGGGCCUGUGAAAGGAAGCAAAUGAAGAACAUCAUGACAUUCCAUUAUGAUUGGAAUGAUGAAGUGAUUGCACAAUUUUAUUCCACUCUCUGGAUAAAGCUGGCUGAUGAGGAGAGCCAUUACAACUACCCCUAUCUAAACUUCUUCAUUGAAGGUAGUUGGUACAAGGUGAGCUAUCGUCGAUUUGCUCACAUUCUUGGUUUUUCUGACGAGGAUAUAUCUGGAGACAGGAUCAAGAUUCAUGAUUUCCGUCAGCCCACAAGAGAUGAGGCCAAGGACCUUCAUUUGUCUGAGUCUGGCAAGUAUUGGGAGUCAACCAACAUUCAUAAGUAUUAUCGCUAUAUCAACUCCCUCUGCAGGAUGACCCUCAUUCCAAAAGGGGGAAAUCAGAUGAACAUCCUUGGGGAGAGCAAGGUCUUGCUCUCUUUUAUGAAACCAAACAGCUCAGAAAGGAUUAAUGUCUUUGACAUGAUAUGGCAGGAAAUUAUUCAUGCAGCCUGCUUUCCUUUGAAGGGGUGUCUUCAUGCCCCAUUCAUUAUGAAGAUGAUUGAGGUCGUGACCCAAUUCAGAUUUGAGAAAGGCACUCGACAUCAGUCAUACACUCCCUUCUGGAUUGAUCCCAACAAUCCAGCCGGGCGUCUCAGGAAAGCUCCCUCCAGUUCUCGUGGUCCUACAUCUGCUGGUCCGUCUGCCGGUGCUGGUGCUGCUGCUGCUGCUGGUGCCUCGCGCCCUUCCCCUGGCCGCGGAUCUCCCACACCACGUGGUCGUGGUCGUGGUCGAGGUCGUGGACGUGGGAUGGGUGCCUGCCUGGCCCACGGAUUUGCGUCCUUCUUCUCCAUGUGCCGAAAUAUUGCUGCAGAUGUCCAUGAGGUGGCUCGACGUCAGCGGGAGACCGACGACAACCUUCGUCGUCAAGCUUCUGCUUUGGGUACUCCCUUCGCCCCUCGCUCUCCUGAUGUACCUCUUCACCCUCCUCCUCCAGAUGUGAAUGAGUGGUACCAGCAGGCGUAUGGGGUACCUUUCUCUUCAGCCGAUGACGUCGAAGAAGAAACCUAUUUUGAUGAUCCGGAGCAGUUUGACCCUCCCCCAUAUCGCGGGGAUCCGGGUCAAUCGUCCUCUUACCCUCCGCCCCAGGACCCGUCUGGCAGUGCUCCUCCUCCGGCCCAGUCUGGAGAGGAACACUUUGCCUACGACCUGGCGCAACACCUCUUUGCUCCUCAUCAACCUCCUCCCCACUGGUGAUUCGUGGCUUGACGCGUCUCUCUCUCUCUCUUUUUGGUUCUUGGUGCCAAAAAGGGGGAGAACGUUUACUAUUCAGUACUUUAUUUUUGUAAUGAACACUUGGUCUGUAAUAACUACUAUUUGCUGCAUGCAUGGCUUGGAAGCCAUAAACACUUGAUGAUGUGUUGAGACGAGCUCUCACUAUUGUAAUAGCUGUAGACCUUUUUCAUAUCAUAUGCUAUGCGAUGAUGAGCUUGAAUGUGCUUUUACUCUUUAUAUUCAAUUAUGUUUCAUAUCUCAUCAUUUUUUUGUAUGGUGUUGAUUGUUCUCUCUCUAAAUAUGUUGCAAAUUGACAUAUCAAGUCAAUGUGAAUAUCGCAAAACUCAUGCACAUAUUUAGGGGGAGCUACAUAUACACAAAAGACUUUUAUCACAAGUAUGUGUAACUUUUAAUUAUUAUUUCCAUUCUAGUUUGUUUUGGCAUCAAUCACCAAAAAGGGGGAGAUUGUAAGUGCAAUCAACCCUAAUUGAGGGUUUUGGUGAUUAAUGACAAAACAAACUAAGAUUCUAACAAGUUUGCUCCUAGUGUGUACACAGUAUUUUUACAGACAGGAGAAGCACAGAUCCUACGAGCAUAAAAGUAUAAAGCACAGCGGAUUUAAAUUUCCACAUCAAAUGGCGUGCUCCAAGUGCUAUGAAACGUCGGCGGUACUAAGUUUAAAAUUCUUGAAUCAUAGGAAUCGCCGUACAAUUAAGAGGGAUCCGCGACGGUUAAGUAAGUUGUGAAACGAGCCAAGUUCAAUUCUUUUGAAAACUCCUUUGAGAUCAUCUUUUCCAGAUCAUGAAUGCUCUUGAGAAAAACAAAUUUCACUUCCCACAAAGUCUCCACCUAAGUUCUCUUCAAAAUUCUCAAAGUUUGGUUUCAGCCCCCAAAACCGGUUCAACCGGUCCAGAAACCGGUUCAACCGGUUUUGGUACUGUUCAUCCUGCCACCUCUGCUCUGACCUGUCUGACAGUCAGAGCUGUCAGAAAAGUCGCAGCAGAUAUUUUUCUGAAACCGGUUGAGCCGAAAUUUGACCCUACUCAGCCGGUUUUGAAACCGGUCCAGUGUCCGGCUGAGUAGACCAGUGGACCGGGAUCCCCCUGGUAGAAACCGGUUCAACCGGUUUGAAAACCGGUUCAACCGGUUUUUUGCCCUUUUCCUCCCAACGGCUGCCAGCUUUUGGGGGAUCCUUUAUAUACCCCCUCACACUCUCUCUCAUCAACUUCUGUCUCUACCACGAAUCUUUGGCUGACCAACCCUCAAACAAGAGCAUUCACUUCACCUCUCACACCCGCAAUCGCAUCUCCUUCAAUCAUUUGAAGGACCCUUGGUGUGAGGUGAACUCGAUCGAACUCGCUGUCAAUUUCAUCUCGAUUCUCCCAUUCUCUUGUUCUUGAGCUCGUUGCAAACUUAACCGUGUGCGGAUUUGUUACUCUUGGAACCUCGUGUUCCUUGACGGUUAGAGGUUGCUUGGGAGUCUCCAAAUUUGUGGACGACCCCAAGAAGUUUGUAUCACCCGCUCCUUGAGCAGAUUUGAGAAGAGAUUGCCUUGACCUUUGUGGUCGGCUUGUGGAGGAUUAGGGUUGGAAAAGACCCGGCCCUUUGUGGGUUCCUCAACGAGGAGUAGGACACCUUUGUGGUGGUUGCCGAACCUCGGGUUAUAUCGCGUGUUCUUGUGUGUUCUUGUUAAGCUUUUCAUAUUCGGUGGUUGGUUCAUAUUAUUCAUUCAAGUAGUUCUUGUGUAGGGCAAAUCUUUAGCUAUUUUCUUUACUACUUCGAAUUUGUUCAAUAGAUUAUUAAAUUCAAGUUGAGUGGGUUCAAACUUGUUCAGUUGUGAUUAAAAUCGACUGAACCGGUUUGCACCUGUGCAACUUUAAUUUAACCUAUUUCGAAGUUUUUAGUGAAAAUUUUCAGGUAUAGCCUAUUCACCCCCCCUCUAGGCUACUUUCACAAGGGACGCGACCUCAUCCGAGCCCAGCCUCGGGCAAGGGCAGUAGUCUCGGACGGAUUCACGCCUCGCCCGAGGGCCUCCUCAGGCAGUGGGCGCACCCUCGGCUCGCCCGAAGCCCAGCUCGGGCAGACUUUGUCGUGCAGCGACCUCGCCCAAAUCGCCUUACCAACCGACCAUAUCGCAGGCGCAUUUAAUGUGGGGAUCGCCUGACACCUUAUCCUGACACGCGCGCCUCAGUCGGCAAGGUCGAAAUGACUGCAGUCUCUUCGCCCCUUUACCGACCGUUCUGACAAGCAAACAGCACUGUUCGCCUCGCUCCGGCUACUGUGCCAACCACCAGGGCCAGACUAACGACAGCAGGUCUCGACCUCCCCUGAGUUCAGCCUCGGGCACGACAGGGAGCUCCGCCUCGCCCGACCCCAGGCCUCGACCUCAGCCCUGGCCUCGGGGAAGGUCUCCGCCUCGCUUGACCCCAGGCCUUGGCCUCGGGGGAAGGUCCUCGUCUCGCCCGACCUCGGGCCUCAGCCUCAGCCUCGGCCUCGGGAGGAGUCACAUCCUCGCCCGACCUCAACCUCGGCCUCAGGAGAAGUCUCCGCCUCGCCCGACCUCGGCCUCGGACCGACUACGCUACAGGGGAUACAUCAUUACCCUACUCCUAGCUAGCUGCCUUAGGCUACGAAGGAACAAGACCGGUGUCCCAUCUAAGGUUACUCCGGUAACAGGUAAUGAUGGUUCCCCGCGUGCGCCCAUGACGUCGGAUUGCUCCCAACCUCCUACAGAAGCAAGGGAACGUCAGCAGCAUCCAUGCCGCACCGCCAGCUAUGCUUCUACAGGGCUCAAGGCACUUCUCCGACAGCCACGUUAGUACCUGUACACGGCUCCAGGCAAUUCUCCGCCAGCCACGUUAGCUCAUAGCUACACCUCCAUUGUACAGCUGGGCAUCUCCUUGUAUCUAUAAAAGGGGAUGUCCAGGGCCUUUCUAAGGCAAGACGCACGGGGACAACAUGCACGCAACAGCGGAGACAUAACACAGACAGACGAACCCACAACGCGGAUGAGCAGAGGCAGGCAGAGUAGGAGAGACACGGUAGAGGCAAACUCAGACAGCUCACCUCAAGGCCGAACUCUCUCCCUCUCUCUCUCGCUCUCUCGCGACGCUUGUAACCCCUACUACGAGCACCCCGGUGCAAUAUAACAUAAGCCUUAUUCCCCUCUUGUGUUCCAUCUUGCAUCAACCCAUCUGGGCAGGGACACGCAGCAACAAAUUCACUAGUCGGUUGACGGUCCUCGCGGGUCCAAAACACCGACAGUUGGCGCGCCAGGUAGGGGCCUGUUGCGUGUUGACAAACACUUUCCCGUUGAGUUCCAGAUGGGUAGCCUUCAGCAGCCUCUUCGGCCCGGGACGGUGCUCCGCUUUGGGAGUCUUCAUGUCCCGCGACGGCAACUACGACAUGGUACUCCUCCCCUCGCAACGCGACAGCAACGACGAUCGUCGGCUCGCCCGGCGGAGGCGAACUCGACGACGACAUCUCCCCACGGUAGAAGAGGAACACUCGGGUUUGCCCCGCCACCCUCCUCGCCAGAGGAGGAGGAGACGGGGCAACCGUGGCCAGGCAGGAGGCGGCACCUCAUCGGUUGUCGAACCAGAGCGAGUCGACGACGUCGGCACCCCUGUGGGGGACAUGUCGGAUGUUGUCCUCGCACUUGAGACAACGACGGGUGUCGCUUCCCCGCAACGUGCCAACCCCAAGCGGACUGAUGACGCCAGCACCCUCACGAAGGACUUGUUGGGCGUUAGCCUAGUACCUGAGAUAAUGCUGUAGUCCGUCCCCGACGCGACUUCACCACCGUCCAUCGCCCAAAAGGUACUAUCCGUUUUCCACCCUGUCCCUUUUGGAUUCAGCUUCGAUCCACCAGGCGACCCCGCUUCGGUGAGCGCUUUCGCAAGGGCAUAUCCUAACCCUCUAGGGUACCAUAUGUGGUCAACCUGGGACCGACUGACGGCCGUCUCAACCUCUGGACUCGCGGGUUCCGAGGAAGAGGACGGUCCCGACUUCGGUUGGUGUAACAUCCCAAAAUCCCAACCCAGGUUUGAAACCCUAACCCCCCUAAUCCCCCCUCCUUCAUUUUAUUCUUCUCCCUUAACCCUACCUCUAGGUCACCCCAUCAUUUGCAUGCACUUAAAAUGACUUGAAGCACCUCACAUAGACCCUAUUUAUCACCAAGUUCAUUUAGAGAAAUUUUGAUAAGAGAAAAAGAAACAAAGGUAGAAAAGAAAAAGGAAUGGAAUAAGAAAAGGAAAAAGGAAAAAUCCUCUCCCCUCCCUCGGCUGGGCCGAAUCUCAGCCCAGCUCGCGCGCGCGCUCCCCCCCACUCUCUUCCGGCCCAGGCGACCCAACCCGCGCGCCGCUCCCACCCCUGACCACUGGGCCCCGCCUGUCAGCACCUCACCUCUCUCUCUCUCGCGCGUACCUCUCUCGCGGACAGCCCGACCCCACCCGUCAGCUCCUUCUCCCUCGCCCAUCCCUCACCUGCGCGAUCGCCGCCGAGCGCCCCUCGCCUUGUCGCCUCGCCAUUAAUGCCCGCCAGCCCCCGCGACAAACUCCGCCACUGUGCUUGAGCUGACCACUCACCCCCGGCCUGCCCGAGCCGUCCCAAUCGGCGUUAGCGCCAUUCCCGUACCCAUGGCGAGCUCGCCGGUGCUCGCCGUCUCCCCCAUCCCCUUCCCUCCCCCGAGCGCCUAUAAAAGGGCCCGCUCGAGCACCGUCUUCGCCACACAACACCAGCCACCCUCACUGCCCUCCUCCCCGAGCCGUUCAAGCGAGCGCCGCCGUGCCCCCUGCCUUGCUCCGGUGAGCUCCUUUUCCCCCUCUAGCAUCUCUCUGUUCAAUUAAGCUAUGGCCAAAGCUCCGCCACACACUCGCGAUCACUCGACACCACUUUGCCCCCCUGUCACGGCCGGAAACCUCACCGGCGGCUUCGCCGCCGCGGGCGCCCGCCACUGCGCCGUGGACCGGCCGCCAUAGGCCCCCGCAGGCCAAAUUCGCCCCACCAUCGUGACCCACUCCAACCGCCCGUGCUUCGCCACCCCUUCCCCGCCAGAGGACCGGACCGACGGCGGAGAACCGCCGCGGAGCUCGCCGCCGACCGGCCCGGUCGAGCCCCCCCUUCCCCUCCGUUACCAGUAGCGCCGUCAGCCCCCCCCUCUCCCUGGCUGGUGGGCCCGCGCUACGGCGCCGUCCCCACCGCCGUCCCCUCGCUGCUGGGCCGUUUGGGCCGCAAAGCGCGCCCGCGCCCGCACGCCUUGUGGGCCAAAAUCCCCCCCGGCCCGGUUGAGUGGAGAAUCCCUUUUCUUUUUCUUUCUCCUAUUUUCCUUUCCCAUUUUCAUAUAUAUAUUUAGAUACUAAUAUUUUAUGCACCAAAAAUUGUCUAAAUGAAUUAUUAGGGCACAAAAAUAAUAAAGUAUAAUAACUUGCACACCCCACAAAGGUCACUAUGUUUGAUGUAUUGUUAUUGUCUUGUUUAAUUAGCGGAAGAGGGAUCCGAUCCUCCGGAACUCUUAGCUCCGGAAGAAGGGCAGGAACCCGACCCCUCCGAGAUUAACCUUUUGUGCCAGGAAAGCUUCAACGAAGGCAAGUCCAUCCUUCCCUUGAUGCAUUAUUUACCUAUUUCUCUCUACCACUGCCUAAGCCUGGAUUAUGGGAUGGGAAUCGAAUUGCAUGGUAAGCAUGAGAGAGCCCGCAUUAACUAUUACUUCCGUUAAAAGAUAUGGGACAAGUAAAAAGGGGUAUAAGUGAAAUGUUUUCCAAAAGAGUGCGAUGAAGGGUACUCACCCUCAUCACCUGGUGAAGUAGGAUGAUCAGGGACUCCCUGGUUUAGGGGAGGGCCUAAGGUGUUGGCUCUGCUGGUUUAGGCGUGAGCAGAAGGAUCGUCCUCUCAUAUAAGGACUGGUUUGUCAUCUUUCAUUACAUGUACUCUCAAAAAGUACAACCCCUCGAGGCUGUGUGGGCAGCCACUCAAUCUGAACUCGUACGGUCCCACCCCAGGGUUAUGAAGGCUGGGGUAGCACCGGGAGCAUAAGGAAGGGGAAUGUUUUGUCCGGUUUGGACAUGGUGGUGGCCUGACUCCUUCCGGUAUAACCGUUAAGGUUCGGACGUACAAGGAAGGAAAGAGUUUCGGAUUCGGGUCUCAUUGGCCAUGAGAUCGCAGAGCCGGACUAGUGGGUAAAGUGUACCCCUCUGCGCAGAGUCUAAACCUAUUCGAAUAGUCCGUGUCCACUGGUAUGGACGAGUCUGGUAUGGUAUGACAAUUAGUGUUUCUACUACAACUGGGAACAGGGAAAUGCGUGUGUAUGUUCUAGAAAGAAAAUGGUACCACGAGAGCGGGAAGCUCAGUGGUAGUCAAGCAAGUGUUACUUCUUUUGUCUUGGGGAGAACCCUAAACAUUGAGUACCGCCUUUCUAUGAAAAAGUAUGAGUGACUUCAACUCCACCAUAUGAAGCAUGUACAAUAUAGAUCACUAUCUCUUUACGGGAGCCGGGUGGGCUUGCGGAAUACCUAGUGUAUUCACCCAGAUUUAUUUAUGUUUUUCAGCAGCUGAAGACUUCUUUUCUGCUAUGCUUGAUUGAUGGGGCUGUGUCUUCACCCAGUUCUGCCUGUGGCCUGGGCUAUUUUUAUCUUCCACUGCGCAUUAUGUUUUUCGGCUCACCUUCGAGCUUGUAUCCCCGGUAUUGUAAUAACAUUAUUCAGACUCUGUAACUAUUUGAAGUAAUGAAUGUGGUUACUAGCCUCCUGGGACUAGUAAUUAUAUCACAUUUGAGUCCCAAAGGAUCGGGACGCUUCAGGUGGUAUCAGAACCUAUAGGACUGGCCGUAGACCACAACCCUGACCUUAAAAGUUGCCUUAACAAGAAAACACCUCUUACCUCCAAGAAACACUCUUUCCCCUUUUCCCCGAUAUUAAUAGACCUUUCUUUUCGUCUACCAGAUGGAAAACCCCUGGGUGAUUAGGACUUCCUAUUGCUCAGAGGAGGAAGGCUUUCCUCACCUUCUUCGAAGCUGCGCACUGCGCUUGGGGAUCCGCAAGAAGCCCGAAUAUGUCUGGAAAGAGUACCGUGAGAAUGGAAUGGAAAAGUGCUCUAUGGCGGUCUACUUGGGAGAAAGCCGGAACUACCCAAACCACCCUCCUUUCCAAAUUACCUUCAUCGGGCACCGCUUCCCAGACACAUGCCAGAGCGUUGCUCGAAAAGCCCUCAAACAACUGUGCCAAAACUAUAGCCGAGAGAUCUUUGAGACUCCCCUCCGAUAUUUUCCACCCAGCAACAAAAACACCCCAACCUGGAAGAAAAGACUCCAGGCUCUGUCAGGAGGAGAUCCCAUAGAAGAUGAUCCCACUAUCGUCUACAUGGCCGGAUACCUCCACACCCUCGACAACCACUACGAUGAGCUCUCCUCCCAUUGUACCCACCUAAACCCCCGAGUGGAAAGCCUAGAGCAGCAAGUCAAAGAGCUUACGCAAGAGAAGGCAUCUCUCCAGGAGAGUCUCAGCAUAGUGGAAGGCGAGGAAGCCAACACCCAGGAGGCCUAUCGGACCUUGAAGAUAGACUUUGACAAGAAGCUAAAGGCACUCGCCCCCAAAAAGAAGAUCCAGAAGAAGACCACUAACCAAGGAUGCCAGACAGAAAAGAAGAAGAAGAAGGCCCCUCUAGCCCUACCUCCCCCUAGAAUCGAUGACUGGUCCGACGAAGAAGAUGUAUCCCUAGCCAGCCUCGAUGAUCUUCUCAAGGCAUUUGGGGACACCUUAGACAAGGAACUCGCUAGCACCUCGAAGAAUGCUCUCGUGUAUUCUUCCCCUGUAGUAGUCUUAUGCUUGUAAUGUGAUGGUGUAAUGAAUAAGAUAACUUGGUUGAGAACAAUUUGCAUGUGCAUGAUAGUGACUCUCUUCCCUGGCAGAUGGCUUCGGAUAAAACCACGCCUACCGCCUCAGGGAUUGGAGCAGGUUUCCCCCGAAGAGCUGAAGGGGAAGUCGUUAGAGAGGAAAGUGAAACCCACCUCCCCGCACCUCCACCCCUACCCUUAGACCUAGCCCAAGUUCUAGCCAAUCAGACCCGACUCAUUGAGGUCCUCACUCGAAAUCUGGAAAAUCAACGGCCGAAUGGUGGAAGACCGCAAGACAAAAUGGGGGACUUCCCGAGACUCAAACCUCCCACGUUCGCCGGAUCAAGCAACCCCCUCGAUGCAGACGAUUGGAUGCGCACGAUCAAAAGGAAGCUGGAAGCCAUUGGUUGCCCAGAAAAUCAGCGUGUUCAACUGGCUGCCCACCAACUCUCUGGGAUGGCCUUAGCCUGGUGGGACACCUUCAACGUCACCAUCAGAGAUGCUACCUGGGCGGAAUUUGAAGCAGCUUUCCGGGAGCACCAUGUGCCCCAAGGAUUGGUACAGCUUAAGGAGGACGAGUUCCGAGAAUUGACUCAAGACGGAAGAUCUGUCAGCGAAUAUGUGCACAAGUUCACGGAGUUAGCCCGCUACGCGCCAGAUGAUGUCAAUACUGAGAGCAAGAAGAUGGCCCGUUCCUUAAGGGACUCAGGCCAGAACUCAAGACAAUUCUGGCUAGCCAAGACUUCCUCAACUUCUCUCACCUUUCCAACAAGGCCAUGCAAGUUGAAAGAGCUAAGGAGGAAGAAAAAGGACAUCUCAAAAGGAAGUUCCAGGUUCUCCAGGCACAACAGCAGGACCGGCACCAGAAGACUCGAUCAUUUGGGUUUCCACCCAAGGGGCCCAACUUCAGUAGACCGGCUGGACCCACCCCGUCACGAUUCAGCCAGUAGAGUCAGAGCUCUUUCCAUUCUCCCUCAGUGGCAAGCAACCAACCUCCGGCAAAUGCAUGUUGGCACUGCGGUGAUCCAAGUCACUUCAAGAACAACUGUCCGCAGCUGAAGCCACAGGGACCCGCCUACUCCAACUCGGUGAAUGGCCCCAAGAAUACCUCGACACCCGCCCCCAAGGCGCCCUCCGCCAUCAGCCAGCAGAACAAGACUCCGUACCAAGGAAGGGCACGUGUAAAUCACGUCGAUGCCCAAGAAGCUCAGCAGGCUCCGGGAGUAGUACUCGGUGAGUUCCUUGUUGAAUUUACUCCAGCUACCGUACUUUUCGAUUCUGGAGCAUCCCACUCUUUCAUAGCCACUAGCUUUGUGGAAAAAUAUGGCAUUCCCUCUACUCCCCUAGAGAUUCCUUUGGUCACCCGAACCCCAGGGUCCGACCUCCUAUGCCAGCUAAAAUGUUCCCAAGUCAGAAUCCUUUUAAGUGGGGUAGUAUUCCUGGCAGACUUAACCGUCUUGCCAUCCAAGGGAAUUGAUGUAAUCCUAGGGAUGGAUUGGCUAACUAAACACAAAGGCAUCAUCAGUUGCGCAGACAAGACAGUCCUCCUCACCGACCAGCAGGGAAAGUCAGUCUCUUGCCAGGCACAGCCACCCGCCAGUGACCCAAUGAUGUUCAAUAUAACAACGGAAAGUAUAUCAAUAGUGGAAGAAUUCAUGGACGUAUUUCCAGAAGAGUUACCAGGAAUGCCACCAGAAAGAGAAGUGGAGUUUUACAUAGAUCUGAUUCCUGGAACAGCACCCAUCGCAAAGAGACCAUACCGCAUGGCUCCAACCGAGUUAGCAGAACUGAAGCUUCAAAUCUCAGAUCUUCAGCAAAAGGGGUACAUUCGUCCCAGCUCAUCACCUUGGGGAGCACCAGUCCUGUUUGUCUCCAAGAAGGAUGGAAGCAUGAGAAUGUGUAUUGAUUACCGAUUGUUAAAUGAGGUUACCAUCAAGAACAAGUACCCACUUCCUCGGAUUGACGACCUCUUCGAUCAGCUUCAAGGAGCCAAGUACUUCUCCAAGAUAGACCUGAGGUCUGGUUACCACCAAUUAAGGAUCAAGGAAGCGGACAUCCAAAAGACUGCAUUUGUCACCCGGUACGGGCAAUAUGAAUUCACAGUAAUGCUGUUCGGACUGACAAAUGCACCCGCCUUUUUCAUGAACCUCAUGAAUAAAGUGUUUAUGGAAGAGCUAGAUAAGUUUGUCGUAGUCUUCAUCGACGACAUCCUUAUUUACUCCAAGAACCGCGAAGACCAUAAGCGUCACCUUCGGAUCGUCCUUGGAAAACUCAGAGCACACCAACUUUAUGCCAAACUCAGUAAAUGUGAAUUCUGGUUGGAAAAGAUAGCCUUCCUUGGGCAUAUCUUAACCACAGAAGGGAUAGAAGUGGACCCUUCCAAAGUAGAAGCAGUGUCAAAAUGGAGGCAACCAACCAACGUCAGUGAAGUUCGAAGCUUCCUAGGAAUGGCAGGGUAUUACCGCCGCUUCAUCAAAGGAUUCUCCAGCAUAGCAAGACCAAUGACAGAACUUCUCAAGAAAGACCACAAAUUUGUGUGGACCCCAAAAUGUGAAGGAAGUUUCCAAAUCAUAAAGGAGAAACUUACAACGGCACCCGUUCUAUCAUUGCCAGAUAUUCAUCAAGAUUUUGUCGUCUUCUGUGAUGCCUCAAGGCAAGGCUUAGGGUGUGUGCUAAUGCAGAACGAGAAAGUCAUUGCUUACGCAUCACGCCUACUCAAGCCGCACGAGCAGAAUUACCCCACCCAUGAUUUGGAAUUGGCAGCCAUAGUGCAUGCCUUAAAGAUAUGGAGGCAUUACCUAGUCGGAAACAAAUGCCAUAUUUUCACCGAUCACAAGAGUCUGAGGUACAUAUUCACUCAACCUGAUCUCAACCUCCGUCAGCGAAGAUGGUUAGAGCUGAUCAAGGAUUAUGACCUCGAAAUUCACUAUCACCCCGGGAAGGCCAAUGUGGUGGCCGACGCUCUCAGUCGAAAACCAUUCGGAAUAAAAGGGACCAACUUUCUAGAAGACUGGAAGGAAGAAUCAACACAACUAAAUGCAUGCCUGGGAAACAACGACAGUCUCGAAGUCAAGCCAAUGCUAGAAGACCUCAUCUGCAAAGCUCAACAUCUAGACCCAGAGACGGCAAGGCUUGUGGAGAAAGCCCGCAAGGAACAACUCCCGGACCUCAGGACAGAUAACCAAGGAGUCCUUUGGUUCAAACACCGUCUGUGUGUACCAAAAGGGGAGGCCCGAUAAGCCCUACUCAAGGAAGCUCACGACUCGGCCUACUCCAUCCACCCCGGAACUACCAAGAUGUACCUGGACCUCAAGACCAGAUACUGGUGGAAGGGGAUGAAGAAAGAAAUAGCUCAGUAUGUGGCCCGAUGUGACAUCUGCCAACGAACAAAAGCCGAACACCAAAAACCCGCUGGCCUAUUACAACCCCUCCCGAUAACUGAAUGGAAGUGGGAAGAAAUAGGCAUGGAUUUCGUAACCGGACUACCCCGGACGCAAAAAGGGAAUGAUUCCAUCUGGGUAAUAAUAGACCGCCUCACCAAGGUAGCCCAUUUCAUUCCAGUGAAAACUACCUUUGGAGGAGCCACCCUUGCCCGGAUCUACCUCAAAGAGAUAGUCAGACUCCACGGCAUCCCAAGGAAGAUAGUGUUAGACAGAGGAACCCAGUUCACAUCCAAAUUCUGGACAGGCCUGCAGAAAGCUAUGGGCACCAAGCUAGAUUUCAGCACCGCGUACCACCCUCAAACAGAUGGGCAGACAGAAAGGGUCAACAAAGUCCUUGAAGAUCUGUUAAGAGCAUGUGUUUUAGCUUUUGAUAGAAGUUGGGAGUCCAGUCUACCCUACGCAAAGUUCUCCUACAACAAUAGCUAUCAGUCCAGCAUCAAGAUGUCACCAUUCGAAGCACUGUAUGGACGAAAAUGCCAGACCCCUCUCAUGUGGUCCAACGUGGGGGAAAAAGCACUAGAAGGACCUGCCUUUGUCAAGGAGGCAGAGGAGAAAGUUGCACUAAUCCGCAGAAGGUUGCUUGAAGCUCAGAGUCGACAGAAGAGUUACGCAGACAACAGGCGGAGGGAACUCCGAUUUGAGGAAGGAGACUUCGUCUACCUUAAGGUUUCUCCAAUGCGUGGUGUCAGGAGGUUCCAAGUCGAAGGGAAGCUAGCCCCACGUUUUGUAGGUCCCUAUCCCAUUAUUGGCAAGGUAGGACCCGCAGCAUACCGCCUGGAACUACCAGAAUCCAUGUCCGACAUCCACAAUGUGUUCCACGUAUCCCAGCUCCGCAAAUGCCUGCAAGCACCAGAAAGUCACCUCGAAGAAGAGACAGUGCAGAUUCAGAAGGGUCUUCAAUAUCGUGAGAAACCAGUGAAGAUUCUUGAUUCAGCAGUCAGAAAGACCCGCACCUCAGAAGUAAAGCUCUGUAAAGUUCAGUGGAGCAGAGAAGGAGAAGAGGAAGCCACCUGGGAGAGUGAGGACUUCUUGAGGAGGGAAUACCCUUAUCUAUUCCCAAAUCCAGUCUAAUCUCGAGGGCGAGAUUCCUUUAAGUGGGGUAGGUUUGUAACAUCCCAAAAUCCCAACCCACGUUUGAAACCCUAACCCCCCUAAUCCCCCCCUCCUUCAUUUUAUUCUUCUCCCUUAACCCUACCUCUAGGUCACCCCAUCAUUUGCAUGCACUUAAAAUGACUUCAAGCACCUCACAUAAACCCUAUUUAUCACCAAGUUCAUUUAGAGAAAUUUUGAUAAGAGAAAAAUAAACAAAGGUAGAAAAGAAAAGAAAAAGGAAUGGAAUAAGAAAAGGAAAAAGGAAAAAUCCUCUCCCCUCCCUCGGCUGGGCCGAAUCUCAGCCCAACUCGCGCGCGCUCCCCCCCCACUCUCUUCCGGCCCAGGCAGCCCAACCCGCGCGCCGCUCCCACCCCUGACCACUGGGCCCCUCCUGUCAGCACCUCACCUCUCUCUCUCUCGCGCACGUACCUCUCUCGCGGACAGCCCGACCCCACCCGUCAGCUCCUUCUCCCUCGCCCAUCCCUCACCGGCGCGAUCGCCGCCGAGCGCCCCUCGCCUCGUCGCCUCGCCAUUAAUGCCCGCCAGCCCCCGCGACAAACUCCGCCACUGUGCUUGAGCCGACCACUCACCCCCGGCCUGCCCGAGCCGUCCCAAUCGGCGUUAGCGCCAUUCUCGUACCCAUGGCGAGCUCGCCGGUGCUCGCCGUCUCCCCCACCCCCCUCCCUCCCCCGAGCGCCUAUAAAAGGGCCCGCUCGAGCACCGUCUUCGCCACACAACACCAGCCACCCUCACUGCCCUCCUCCCCGAGCCGUUCAAGCGAGCGCCGCCGUGCCCCCUGCCUUGCUCCGGUGAGCUCCUUUUCCCCCUCUAGCAUCUCUCUGUUCAAUUAAGCUAUGGCCAAAGCUCCGCCACACACUCACGAUCACUCGACACCACUUUGCCCCCCCUGUCACGGCCGGAAACCUCACCGGCGGCUUCGCCGCCGCGGGCGCCCGCCACUGCGCCGUGGACCGGCCGCCAUAGGCCCCCGCAGGCCAAAUUCGCCCCACCAUCGUGACCCACUCCAACCGCCCGUGCUUCGCCACCCCUUCCCCGCCAGAGGACCGGACCGACGGCGGAGAACCGCCGCGGAGCUCGCCGCCGACCGGCCCGGUCGAGCCCCCCCUUCCCCUUCGUUACCAGUAGCGCCGUUAGCCCCCCCUCUCUCCC